UAUGACAAAAACAAUAAGUGCUGCUUCACAGGUAAAGCUGUAUCCGGCAGGUAACAAGCUGGACUUUGCACGGUAAUUUUGGCUGCUUUGUGAUACGAAUUUGACUUCUUCCAAAACAUGAAAGUUGUAGAAACGUGCCUUGUCUUUCCAACCCAACUUGAAUCACCUCGAUCCAAUGUCUGAAACUCAAGUUACGAUUAUUUUACCAACAGCUGCUUCUUGCUUGAGGCAGUCACUAUUUUUGACUUUUCAACAUUAUUUUCCUCCACUUGCUCCACUUGUAAUAAAUUGAAAAUACAUGUGAAAUACAUCAAAUAGAUACUCUUUCAAAUGUAUAAUACUCAUGCCACCAUGUAUGUAAUACGUAUUUCAAUUAAUUGCAUUUUUAACCAUGUAUUUAUGGAAAUUGAAUUUACGGCAUGAGAAUUGGAAUUAGAGACUAACAUUAGCGUUUUUAAACAAAGUGAAUGUAAAAUGCCUUCUAAAUGAUAUAUCUUUGAAGCACUUUUAGACACUAAUCAAUAACUUUAGGUUUGUUCGUUUUUGGCGAAUUACUAAUGUAAUUCGAUUGGAAUCGAGCCAAUGAAAAUUGGUUUUCGAUUUCACAAUAACUUUUUGUCAGUUUGUUUUUGGCGACUAGCUAGUCUAAUUCGAUUGGAAUCGAGCCAAUGAAAUGUGGUUUUCGAUUUCAUGAUAACUUCGGGUUUGUUCAUUUUUGGCGAAUUGCUAGUCGAAUUUGAUUGGAAUCAAGCCAAUGAAACGUGUAUUUCGAUUUCAUGAUAACUUUGGGUCUGUUCAUUUUUGGCGAAUUGGUAGUCUAAUUCGAUUGGAAUCUAGCAAUGAAAUGUGGUUUUCGAUUUCAUUGUAACUUCAUGUUUAUUCAUUUUUGGUGAAUUGCUAGUCUAAUUUGAUUGGAAUCGAGCUAAUGAAAUGUGGUUUUCAAUUUCAUGAUAACUUCGGGUUUGUUCAUUUUUGGCGAAUUGCUAGUCUAAUUUGAUUGUAAUCCAGCCAAUGAAAUGUGGUUUUCGAUUUCUUGAUAACUUCGAGAUUGUUCAUCUUUGGCAAAUUGCUAGUCUAAUUUGAUUGGAAUCGAGCCAGUGAAAAGUGGCUUUCGAUUUCAUGAUAACUUCGGGAUUGUUCAUUUUGGCAAAUUGUUAGUCUAAUUCGAUUGGAAUCGAGCUAAUGAAAUGUGGUUGUCGAUUUCAUGAUAACUUCGGGUUUGUUCCUUUUUUACGAAUUGCUCGUCUAAUUCGAUUGGAAUCGAACCAAUGAAACGUGUAUUUCGAUUUCAUAAUAACUUAGGGUCUGUUCAAUUUUGGUGAAUUGCUAGUCUAAUUCGACUGAAAUCGAGCCAUGAAAUGUGGUUUUCGAUUUCAUGAUAACUACGGGUUUGUUCCUUUUUGGCGAAUUGCUAGUCUUACUCGAUAGGAAUCGAGUUAAUGAAAUGUGGUUUUCGAUUUCACGAUAACAAACAACUUCGGGUUUGUUCAUUUUUGGCGAAUUGCUAGUCUAAUUCGAUUGGAAUCGAGCUAGUGAAAAGUGGCUUCUAAUUUCAUGAUAACUUCGAGUUUCUUUGUUUUUGGCGAAUUACUAGUCUAAUUCGAUUGGGAUCGAGCCAGAGAAAAGUGGCUUUGAAUUUCAUGAUAACUUCGAGUUUAUUUAUUUUUGGCGAAUUGCUAGUCUAAUUCGAUUGGAAUCGAACCAAUUAAACGUGUAUUUCGAUUUCAUGAUAACUUCGGGUCUGUUAUUUUUGGCAAAUUGCUAGUCUAAUUCGAUUGGAAUCGAGCCAUUAAAUGUGGUUUUCGACUUUCAUGAUAACUUCGGGUUUUAUGAUUUUGGACGAAUUCCUAGUCUAAUUCGAUUGGAGUCGAGUCAAUGAAAUGUGGAUUUUAAUUUCAUGAUAACUUCGGGAUUGUUCAUCUUUGGCAAAUUGCUAGUCUAAUUCGAUCGAAAUUGAGCCAAUGGAAUGUAGUUUUCGAUUUGAUGAUAACUUCGUGUUUGUUCAUUUUUAUCGAAUUGCUAGUCUAAUUCGAUUGGAAUCGAGCUAAUGAAACGUGUGUUUCGAUUUUGUAAUAACUUCGAGUCUGCUCAUUUUCGGCGAAUUGCUAAUCUAAUUCGAUUGAAAUCGAGCCAUGAAAUGUGGUUUUCGAUUUCAUGAUAACUUCGCGUUUGUUUAUUUUUGGCGAAUUGCUAGUCUAAUUCGAUUACAAUGGAGCCAGCGAAUUGUGGUUUUUGAUUUCAUGAUAACUUCUGGUUUGUUCAUUUUUGGCGAAUUGGUGGUCUAAUUCGAUUGGAAUCGAGCCAAUGAAAUGUGGUUUUUGAUUUCAAGAUAACUUCGGCUUUGUUCGUUUUUGGCGAAUUGCUAGACUAAUUCGAUUGGAAUCGAGCCAUGAAAUGUGGUUUUCGAUUUCAUGAUAACUUUAGGUUUGUUCAUUUUUGGCGAAUUACUAAUGUAAUUCGAUUUGAAUCGAGCCUAUGAAAAUUGUUUUUCGAUUUCAUAAUAACUUUUUGUAUGUUCAUUUUUGGCGAAUAGCUAGUCUAAUUCGAUUGGAAUCGAGCCAUUGAAAUGUGGUUAUCGAUUUCAUGAUAACUUCGGGUUUGCUCGUUUUUAGCAAAUUGCCAGUCUAAUUCGAUUGGAAUCGAGCCAAUGAAACGUGUAUUUCGAUUUCAUGAUAACUUCAGGUCUGUUCAUUUUUGGGGAAUUGCUAGUGUAAUUCGAUUGGAAUCGGGCCAUGAAAUGUGGUUUUCGAUUUCAUGAUAACUUCGCGCUUGUUCAUUUUUGGCGAAUUGCUAGUCUAAUUCGAUUGGAAUCGAGCCAAUGAAAUGUGGUUUUAGAUUUCACGAUAACUUCGGGUUUUUUUUUUUGGCGAAUUACGAGUCUAAUUCGAUUGGAAUCGAGCCAUGAAAUGUUGUUUUCGAUUUCAUGAUAACUUUAGGUUUGUUCAUUUUUGGCGAAUUACUAAUGUAGUUCGAUUGGAAUCGAGCCAAUGAAAAUUGGUUUUCGAUUUCAUAAUAACUUUUUGGUUGUUCGUUUUGUGCGAAUAGCUAGUUUAAUUGGACUGGAAUCAGGCAAAUGGAAUUUGCUUUCGGUUUCAUGAUCACUUCAGGUUUGUUCAUUUUUGGCGAAUUGUUAGUCUAGUUCGUUUGGAAUCGAUCCAAUGAAAUGUGGUUUUCGAUUUCAUGAUAACUUCAGGUUUGUUUGUUUUUGGCAAAUUACUAGUCUAAUUCAAUUUGAAUCGAGCCAUGAAAUGUGGUUUUUGAUUUCAUGAUAACUUCAGGUUUGUUCGUUUUUAGAGAAUUGCUAGUCUAAUUCGAUUGGAAUCGAGCCAAUGAAACGUGUAUUUCAAUUUCAUGAUAACUUUGGGUCUGUUCAUUUUUGGCGAAUUGCUAGUCUAAUUUGAUUGGAAUCGAGCCAUGAUAUGUGGUUUUCGAUUUCAUGAUAACUUCGGCUUUGUUCAUCUUUGGCGAAUUGCUAGUCCAAUUCGAUUGGAAACGAGUCAACAAAAUGUGGUUUUCGAUUUCAUGAUAACUUCGGAUUUGUUCGUUUUUAGAGAAUUGCAUUCUAAUUCGAUUGGAAUUGAGCCAAAGAAACGUGUAUUUUGAUUUCACGAUAACUUCAGGUCUAUUCUUUUUUGGCGAAUUGCUAGUCUAAUUCGAUUGGAAUCGAACCAUGAAAUGCAGUUUUCGAUUUCAUGAUAACAUCGGGUUUGAUCAUUUUUGGCGAAUUGCUAGUCUAAUUCGAUUGGAAUCGAGCCAAUGAAAUGUGGUUUCGAUUUCAUGAUAACUUCGGGUUUGUUCAUUUUUGGCGUAUUGCUAGUCUAAUUCGAUUGGAAUCCAGCCAAUGAAAUGUGGUUUUCGAUUUCUUAAUAACUUCGGGAUUGUUCAUCUUUGGCAAAUUGCUAGUCUAAUUCGAUUGGAAUCGAGCCUGUGAAAAGUGGCUUUCGAUUUCAUGAUAACUUCGGGAUUGUUCAUUUUUGGCAAAUUGUUAGUCUAAUUCGAUUGGAAUCGAUCUAAUGAAAUGUGGUUUUCAAUUUCAUGAUAACUUCGGGUUUGUUCCUUUUUUACGAAUUGCUCGUCUAAUUCGAUUGGAAUCGAACCAAUGAAAAGUGUAUUUCGAUUUCAUGAUAACUUAGGGUCUGUUCAAUUUUGGCGAAUUGCUAGUCUAAUUCGACUGAAAUCGAGCCAUGAAAUGUGGUUUUCGAUUUCAUGAUAACUUCGGGUUUGUUCCUUUUUGGCGAAUUGCUAGUCUUAUUCGAUAGGAAUCGAGUCAAUGAAAUAUGGUUUUCAAUUUCAUGAUAACAAACAACUUCGGGUUUGAUCAUUUUUGGCGAACUGCUAGUCUAAUUCGAUUGGAAUCGAGCCAAUGGAAUCUGGUUUUCGAUUUCAUGAUAACUUCGGGUUUGUUCAUUUUUGGCGAAUUGCUAGUCUAGUUUGAUUGGAAUCGAGCCAGUGAAAUGUAGUUUUCGAUUCCAUGAUAACUUCAAGUUUGUUCAUUUUUGGUGAAUUGCUAGUUUAAUUCGAUUGGAAUCGAGCCAUGAAAUGUGGUUUUCGAUUUCAUGAUAACUUUAGGUUUGUUCGUUUUUGGGGAAUUACUAAUGUAAAUCGAUUGGAAUCGAGCCAAUGAAAAUAGGUUUUUGAUUUCAUGAUAACUUUUUGUUUUUUCGUUUUUGGCGAAUAGCUAGUCUAAUUCGAUUGGAAUCGAACCAAUUAAAAGUGUAUUUCGAUUUCAUGAUAACUUCGGGUCUGUUCAUUUUUGGCAAAUUACUAGUCUAAUUCGAUUGGAAUCGAGCCAUUAAAUGUGGUUUUCGAUUUUCAUGAUAACUUCGGGUUUGUUCAUUUUUGGCGAAUUCCUAGUCUAAUUCUAUUGGAGUCGAGUCAAUGAAAUGCGGAUUUUGAUAUCAUGAUAACUUCGGGAUUGUUCGUCUUUGGCGAAUUGCUAGUCUAAUUCAAUCGAGAUUGAGCCAAUGGAAUGUAGUUUUCGAUUUUAUGAUAACUUCGGGUUUGUUCAUUUUUAUCGAAUUGCUAGUCUAAUUCGAUUGGAAUCGAGCUAAUGAAACGUGUAUUUCGACAUCAUAAUAACAUGGGUAUGUUCAUUUUUGGCGAGUUCCUAGUCUAAUUCGAUUGGAAUCGAGCCAUGGAAUGUGGUUUUCGAUUUCAUGAUAACUUUAGGUUUGUUCAUUUUUGGUGAAUUACUAAUGUAAUUCGAUUGGAAUUGAGCCAAUGAAAAUAGGUUUUCGACUUCAUAAUAACUUUUUGUUUGUUUGUUUUUGGCGAAUAGCUAGUCUAAUUCGAUUGGAAUCGAGCCAAUGAAAUGUGGUUUUCGAUUUCAUGAUAACUACGGGGUUGUUCAUUUUUAGCGAAUUGCUAGUCUAAUUCGAUUCGAAUCAAGCAAAUGGAAUUUGGUUUUCGGUUUCUUGAAAACUUCGGGUUUGUUCGUUUUUGGCGAAUUGCUAGUCUCAUUCGAUUGGAAUCGAUCAAAUGAAAUGUGGUUUUCGAUUUCAUGAUAACUUCAGGUUUGUUCAUUUUUGGCGAAUUGCUAGUCUAAUUCAAUUGGAAUCGAGCCAUGAAAUGUGGUUUUCGAUUUCAUGAUAACUUCAGGUUUGUUCAUUUUUGGCGAAUUGCUAGUCUAAUUCAAUUGGAAUCGAGCCAUGAAAUGUGGUUUUCGAUUUCAUGAUAACUUCGGGUUUGUUCGUUUUUAGCGAAUUGCUAGUCUAAUUCGAUUGGAAUUGAGCCAAUGAAAUGUGUAUUUCGAUUUCAUGACAACAUGGGUCUGUUCAAUUUUGGCGAGUUGCUAGUCUAAUUCGAUUGGAAUCGAGCCAUGGAAAGUGGUUUUCGAUUUCAUGAUAACUUCGCGUUUGUUCAUUUUUGGCAAAUUGCUAGUCUAAUUCGAUUGGAAUCGAGCCAUGAAAUGUGGUUUUCGAUUUCAUGAUAACUUUAGGUUUGUUCAUUUUUGGCGAAUUACUAAUGUAAUUCGAUUGGAUUCGAGCCAAUGAAAAUUGGUUUUCGAUUUCAUGAUAACUUUAGGUUUGUUCAUUUUUGGCGAAUUACUAAUGUAAUUCGAUUGGAUUCGAGCCAAUGAAAAUUGGUUUUCGAUUUCAUAAUAACUUUUUGUUUGUUUGUUUUUGGCGAAUGGCUAGUCCAAUUCGGUUGAAAUCGAGCCAAUGAAAUGUGGUUUUCGAUUUCAUGACAACUUCGGGUUUGUUCGUUUUUAGCGAAAUGCUAGUUUAAUUCAAUUGAUAUCAAGCAAAUGGAAUUUGAUUUUCGAUUUCAUGAUAACUUCGGGUUUCUUCAUUUUUGGCGAAUUGCUAGUGUAGUUCGAUUGGAAUCGAGCCAAUGAAAUGUGGUUUUUGAUUUCAUGAUAACUUCAGGUUUGUUCUUUUUUGCGAAUUGCUAGUCUAAUUCGAAUGGAAUCGAGCCAUGAAAUGUGGUUUUCGAUUUCAUGAUAAGUUCGGGUUUGUUCAUUUUUAGCGAUUUGCUAGUCUAAUUCGAUUGGAAUCGAGCCAAUGAAACGGGUAUUUCGAUUUCAUGAUAACUUCGGGUCUGUUCAUUUUUGGCGAAUUGCUAGUCUAACUCGAUUGGAACCGAGCCAUGAAAUGUGGUUUUCGAUUUCAUGAUAACUUCGGGUUUGUUCGUUUUUGGCGAAUUGCUAGUCGAAUUUGAUUGGAAUCGAGCCAAUGAAACGUGUAUUUCGAUUUCAUGAUAACUUUGGGUCUGUUCAUUUUUGGCAAAUUGGUAGUCUAAUUCGAUUGGAAUCUAGCAAUGAAAUGUGGUUUUCGAUUUCAUUUUAACUUCAUGUUUAUUCAUUUUCGGUUAAUUGCUAGUCUAAUUCGAUUGGAAUCGAGCUAAUGAAAUGUGGUUUUCAAUUUCAUGAUAACUUCGGGUUUGUUCAUUUUUGGCGAAUUGCUAGUCUAAUUUGAUUGGAAUCCAACCAAUGAAAUGUGGUUUUCGAUUUCUUGAUAACUUCGGGAUUGGUCAUCUUUAGCAAAUUGCUAGUCUAGUUCGAUUGGAAUCGAGCCAGUGAAAAGUGGCUUUCGAUUUCAUGAUAACUUCGGGAUUUUUCAUUUUGGCAAGCUGUUAGUCUAAUUCGAUUGGAAUCGAGCUAAUGAAAUGUGGUUUUCGAUUUCAUAAUAACUUCGGGUUUGUUCCUUUUUUACGAAUUGCUCGUCUAAUUCGAUUGGAAUCGAACCAAUGAAACGUGUAUUUCGAUUUCAUAAUAACUUAGGGUCUGUUCAAUUUUGGUGAAUUGCUAGUCUAAUUCGACUGAAAUCGAGCCAUGAAAUGUGGUUUUCGAUUUCAUGAUAACUACGGGUUUGUUCCUUUUUGGCGAAUUGCUAGUCUUAUUCGAUAGGAAUCGAGUUAAUGAAAUGUGGUUUUCGAUUUCAUGAUAACAAACAACUUCGGGUUUGUUCAUUUUUGGCGAAUUGCUAGUCUAAUUCGAUUGGAAUCGAGCUAGUGAAAAGUGGCUUCUAAUUUCAUGAUAACUUCGAGUUUCUUUAUUUUUGGCGAAUUACUAGUCUAAUUCGAUUGGAAUCGAGCCAGUGAAAAGUGGCUUUUAAUUUCAUGAUAACUUCGAGUUUAUUUGUUUUUGGCGAGUUGCUAGUCUAAUUAGAUUGGAAUCGAACCAAUUAAACGUGUAUUUCGAUUUCAUGAUAACUUCGGGUCUGUUAUUUUUGGUAAAUUGCUAGUCUAAUUCGAUUGGAAUCGAGCCAUUAAAUGUGGUUUUCGAUUUUCAUGAUAACUUCGGGUUUGUUCAUUUUGGACGAAUUCCUAGUCUAAUUCGAUUGGAGUCGAGUCAAUGAAAUGUGGAUUUUAAUUUCAUGAUAACUUCGGGAUUGUUCGUCUUUGGCAAAUUACUAGUCUAAUUCGAUCGAAAUUGAGCCAAUGGAAUGUAGUUUUCGAUUUGAUGAUAACUUCGGGUUUGUUCAUUUUUAUCGAAUUGCUAGUCUAAUUCGAUUGGAAUCGAGCUAAUGAAACGUGUGUUUCGAUUUUGUAAUAACUUUGAGUCUGUUCAUUUUCGGCGAAUUGCUAAUCUAAUUCGAUUGGAAUCGAGCCAUGAAAUGUGGUUUUCGAUUUCAUGAUAACUUCGCGUUUGUUUAUUUUUGGCGAAUUGCUAGUCUAAUUCGAUUGCAAUGGAGCCAGUGAAUUGUGGUUUUUGAUUUCAUGAUAACUUCUGGUUUGUUCAUUUUUGGCGAAUUGGUGGUCUAAUUCGAUUGGAAUCGAGCCAAUGAAAUGUGGUUUUUGAUUUCAAGAUAACUUCGGCUUUGUUCGUUUUUGGCGAAUUGCUAGACUAAUUCGAUUGGAAUCGAGCCAUGAAAUGUGGUUUUCGAUUUCAUGAUAACUUUAGGUUUGUUCAUUUUUGGCGAAUUACUAAUGUAAUUCGAUUUGAAUCGAGCCUAUGAAAAUUAUUUUUCGAUUUCAUAAUAACUUUUUGUAUGUUCGUUUUUGGCGAAUAGCUAGUCUAAUUCGAUUGGAAUCGAGCCAAUGAAAUGUGGUUAUCGAUUUCAUGAUAACUUCGGGUUUGCUCGUUUUUAGCGAAUUGCCAGUCUAAUUCGAUUGGAAUCGAGCCAAUGAAACGUGUAUUUCGAUUUCAUGAUAACUUCAGGUCUGUUCAUUUUUGGGGAAUUGCUAGUGUAAUUCGAUUGGAAUCGGGCCAUGAAAUGUGGUUUUCGAUUUCAUGAUAACUUCGCGCUUGUUCAUUUUUGUCGAAUUGCUAGUCUAAUUCGAUUGGAAUCGAGCCAAUGAAAUGUGGUUUUAGAUUUCACGAUAACUUCGGGUUUGUUUUUUUUGGCGAAUUACGAGUCUAAUUCGAUUGGAAUCGAGCCAUGAAAUGUUGUUUUCGAUUUCAUGAUAACUUUAGGUUUGUUCAUUUUUGGCGAAUUACUAAUGUAGUUCGAUUGGAAUCGAGCCAAUGAAAAUUGGUUUUCGAUUUCAUAAUGACUUUUUGGUUGUUCGUUUUGUGCGAAUAGCUAGUUUAAUUGGACUGGAAUCAGGCAAAUGGAAUUUGCUUACGGUUUCAUGAUCACUUCGGGUUUGUUCAUUUUUGGCGAAUUGCUAGUCUAGCUCGUUUGGAAUCGAUCCAAUGAAAUGUGGUUUUCGAUUUCAUGAUAACUUUAGGUUUGUUUGUUUUUGGCGAAUUACUAGUCUAAUUCAAUUGGAAUCGAGCCAUGAAAUGUGGUUUUCGAUUUCAUGAUAACUUCGGCUUUGUUCAUCUUUGGCGAAUUGCUAGUCCAAUUCGAUUGGAAACGAGUCAACAAAAUGUGGUUUUCGAUUUCAUGAUAACUUCGGGUUUGUUCAUUUUUGGCGAAUUGCUAGUCUAAUUCGAUUGGAAUCGAGCCAAUGAAAUGUGGUUUUCGAUUUCAUGAUAACUUCGGCUUUGUUCAUCUUUGGCGAAUUGCUAGUCCAAUUCGAUUGGAAACGAGUCAACAAAAUGUGGUUUUCGAUUUCAUGAUAACUUCGGAUUUGUUCGUUUUUAGAGAAUUGCAUUCUAAUUCGAUUGGAAUUGAGCCAAAGAAAUGUGUAUUUUGAUUUCACGAUAACUUCAGGUCUAUUCUUUUUUGGCGAAUUACUAGUCUAAUUCGAUUGGAAUCGAACCAUGAAAUGCGGUUUUCGAUUUCAUGAUAACAUCGGGUUUGAUCAUUUUUGGCGAAUUGCUAGUCUAAUUCGAUUGGAAUCGAGCCAAUGAAAUGUGGUUUUCGAUUUCAUGAUAACUUCGGGUUUGUUCAUUUUUGGCGAAUUGCUAGUCUAAUUCGAUUGGAAUCUAGCCAAUGAAAUGUGGUUUUCGAUUUCUUGAUAACUUCGGGAUUGUUCAUCUUCGGUAAAUUGCUAGUCUAAUUCGAUUGGAAUCGAGCCAGUGAAAAGUGGCUUUCGAUUUCAUGAUAACUUCGAGAUUGUUCAUUUUUGGCAAAUUGUUAGUCUAAUUCGAUUGGAAUCGAUCUAAUGAAAUGUGGUUUUCGAUUUCAUGAUAACUUCGGGUUUGUUCCUUUUUUACGAAUUGCUCGUCUAAUUCGAUUGGAAUCGAACCAAUGAAACGUGUAUUUCGAUUUCAUGAUAACUUAGGGUCUGUUCAAUUUUGGCGAAUUGCUAGUCUAAUUCGACUGAAAUCGAGCCAUGAAAUGUGGUUUUCGAUUUCAUGAUAACUUCGGGUUUGUUCCUUUUUGGCGAAUUGCUAGUCUUAUUCGAUAGGAAUCGAGUCAAUGAAACGUGGUUUUCGAUAUCAUGAUAACAAACAACUUCGGGUUUGAUCAUUUUUGGCGAACUGCUAGUCUAAUUUGAUUGGAAUCGAGCCAAUGGAAUCUGGUUUUCGAUUUCAUGAUAACUUCGGGUUUGUUCGUUUUUGGCGAAUUGCUAGUCUAGUUUGAUUGGAAUCAAGCCAGUGUAGUUUUCGAUUCCAUGAUAACUUCAAGUUUGUUCAUUUUUGGUGAAUUGCUAGUUUAAUUCGAUUGGAAUCGAGCUAUGAAAUGUGGUUUUCGAUUUCAUGAUAACUUUAGGUUUGUUCGUUUUUGGCGAAUUACUAAUGUAAUUCGAUUGGAAUCGAGCCAAUGAAAAUCGGUUUUUGAUUUCAUGAUAACUUUUUGUUUUUUCGUUUUUGGCGAAUAGCUAGUCUAAUUCGAUUGGAAUCGAAUCAAUUAAACAUGUAUUUCGAUUUCAUGAUAACUUCGGGUCUGUUCGUUUUUGGCAAAUUGCUAGUCUAAUUCGAUUGGAAUCGAGCCAUUAAAUGUAGUUUUCGAUUUUCAUGAUAACUUCGGGUUUGUUCAUUUUGGGCGAAUUCCUAGUCUAAUUCGAUUGGAGUCGAGUCAAUGAAAUGCGGAUUUUGAUUUCAUGAUAACUUCGGGAUUGUUCAUCUUUGGCGAAUUGCUAGUCUAAUUCAAUCGAGAUUGAGCCAAUGGAAUGUAGUUUUCGAUUUGAUGAUAACUUCGGGUUUGUUCAUUUUUAUCGAAUUGCUAGUCUAAUUCGAUUGGAAUCGAGCUAAUGAAACGUGUAUUUCGACUUCAUAAUAACAUGGGUAUGUUCAUUUUUGGCGAGUUACUAGUCUAAUUCGAUUGGAAUCGAGCCAUGAAAUGUGGUUUUCGAUUUCAUGAUAAGUUCGGGUUUGUUCAUUUUUGGCGAAUUGCUAGUCUAAUUUGAUUGGAAUCGAGCCAAUGAAACGUGUAUUUCGAUUUCACGAUAACUUUGGGUCUGUUCAUUUUUGGCGAAUUGGUAGUCUAAUUCGAUUGGAAUCUAGCAAUGAAAUGUGGUUUUUGAUUUCAUUGUAACUUCAUGUUUAUUCAUUUUUGGUGAAUUGCUAGUCUAAUUCGAUUGGAAUCGAGCUAAUGAAAUGUGGAUUUCAAUUUCAUGAUAACUUCGGGUUUGUUCAUUUUUGGCGAAUUGCUAGUCUAAUUUGAUUGGAAUCCAGCCAAUGAAAUGUGGUUUUCGAUUUCUUGAUAACUUCGGGAUUGUUCAUCUUUAGCAAAUUGCUAGUCUAGUUCGAUUGGAAUCGAGCCAGUGAAAAGUGGCUUUCGAUUUCAUGAUAACUUCGGGAUUGUUCAUUUUGGCAAAUUGUUAGUCUAAUUCGAUUGGAAUCGAGCCAAUGAAAUGUGGUUUUCGAUUUCAUGAUAACUUCGGGUUUGUUCCUUUUUUACGAAUUGCUCGUCUAAUUCGAUUGGAAUCGAACCAAUGAAACGUGUAUUUCGAUUUCAUAAUAACUUAGGGUCUGUUCAAUUUUGGCGAAUUACUAGUCUAAUUCGACUGAAAUCGAGCCAUGAAAUGUGGUUUUCGAUUUCAUGAUAACUACGGGUUUGUUCCUUUUUGGCGAAUUGCUAGUCUUAUUCGAUAGGAAUCGAGUUAAUGAAAUGUGGUUUUCGAUUUCAUGAUAACAAACAACUUCGGGUUUGUUCAUUUUUGGCGAAUUGCUAGUCUAGUACGAUUGGAAUCGAGCUAGUGAAAAGUGGCUUCUAAUUUCAUGAUAACUUCGAGUUUCUUUGUUUUUGGCGAAUUACUAGUCUAAUUCGAUUGGAAUCGAGCCAGUGAAAAGUGGCUUUUAAUUUCAUGAUAACUUCGAGUUGAUUUAUUUUUGGCGAAUUACUAGUCUAAAUCGAUUGGAAUCGAACCAAUUAAACGUUUAUUUCGAUUUCAUGAUAACUUCGGGUCUGUUAUUUUUGGCAAAUUGCUAGUCUAAUUCGAUUGGAAUCGAGCCAUUAAAUGUGGUUUUCGAUUUUCAUGAUAACUUCGGGUUUGUUCAUUUUGGACGAAUUCCUAGUCUAAUUCGAUUGGAGUCGAGUCAAUGAAAUGUGGAUUUUAAUUUCAUGAUAACUUCGGGAUUGUUCGUCUUUGGCAAAUUACUAGUCUAAUUCGAUCGAAAUUGAGCCAAUGGAAUGUAGUUUUCGAUUUGAUGAUAACUUCGGGUUUGUUCAUUUUUAUCGAAUUGCUAGUCUAAUUCGAUUGGAAUCGAGCUAAUGAAACGUGUGUUUCGAUUUCGUAAUAACUUCGAGUCUGUUCAUUUUCGGCGAAUUGCUAAUCUAAUUCGAUUGGAAUCGAGCCAAGAAAUGUGGUUUUCGAUUUCAUGAUAACUUCGCGUUUGUUUAUUUUUGGCGAAUUGCUAGUCUAAUUCGAUUGCAAUGGAGCCAAUGAAAUGUGGUUUUCGAUUUCAUGAUAACUUCCAGUUUGUUCAUUUUUGGCGAAUUGGUGGUCUAAUUCGAUUGGAAUCGAGCCAAUGAAAUGUGGUUUUUGAUUUCAAGAUAACUUCGGCUUUGUUCAUUUUUGGCGAAUUGCUAGACUAAUUCGAUUGGAAUCGAGCCAUGAAAUGUGGUUUUCGAUUUCAUGAUAACUUUAGGUUUGUUCAUUUUUGGUGAAUUACUAAUGUAAUUCGAUUUGAAUCGAGACUAUGAAAAUUGUUUUUCGAUUUCAUAAUAACUUUUUGUAUGUUCGUUUUUGGCGAAUAGCUAGUCUAAUUCGAUUGGAAUCAAGCCAAUGAAAUGUGGUCAUCGAUUUCAUGAUAACUUCGGGUUUGCUCGUUUUUCGCGAAUUGCCAGUCUAAUUAGAUUGGAAUCGAGCCAAUGAAACGUGUAUUUCGAUUUCAUGAUAACUUCAGGUCUGUUCAUUUUUGGGGAAUUGCUAGUGUAAUUCGAUUGGAAUCGGGCCAUGAAAUGUGGUUUUCGAUUUCAUGAUAACUUCGCGCUUGUUCAUUUUUGGCGAAUUGCUAGUCUAAUUCGAUUGGAAUCGAGCCAAUGAAAUGUGGUUUUAGAUUUCACAAUAACUUCGGGAUUUUUUUGGCGAAUUACGAGUCUAAUUCGAUUGGAAUCGAGCCAUGAAAAGUUGUUUUCGAUUUCAUGAUAACUUUAGGUUUGUUCAUUUUUGGCGAAUUACUAAUGUAGUUCGAUUGGAAUCGAGCCAAUGAAAAUUGGUUUUCGUGGUUGUUUGUUUUGUGCGAAUAGCUAGUUUAAUUGGACUGGAAUCAGGCAAAUGGAAUUUGCUUUCGGUUUCAUGAUCACUUCAGGUUUGUUCAUUUUUGGCGAAUUGCUAGUCUAGCUCGUUUGUAAUCGAUCCAAUGAAAUGUGGUUUUCGAUUUCACGAUAUCUUCAUGUUAGUUUGUUUUUGGCGAAUUACUAGUCUAAUUCAAUUGGAAUCGAGCCAUGAAAUGUGGUUUUCGAUUUCAUGAUAACUUCGGGUUUGUUCGGUUUUAGAGAAUUGCUAGUCUAAUUCGAUUGGAAUCGAGCCAAUGAAACGUGUAUUUCGAUUUCAUGAUAACUUUGGGUCUGUUCAUUUUUGGCGAAUUGCUAGUCCAAUUUGAUUGGAAUCGAGCCAUGAUAUGUGGUUUUCGAUUUCAUGAUAACUUCGGCUUUGUUCAUCUUUGGCGAAUUGCUAGUCAUAUUCGAUUGGAAACGAGUCAACAAAAUGUGGUUUUCGAUUUCAUGAUAACUUCGGAUUUGUUCGUUUUUAGAGAAUUGCAUUCUAAUUCGAUCAGAAUUGAGCCAAAGAAACGUGUAUUUUGAUUUCACGAUAACUUCAGGUCUAUUCUUUUUUGGCGAAUUGCUAGUCUAAUUCGAUUGGAAUCGAACCAUGAAAUGCGGUUUUCGAUUUCAUGAUAACAUCGGGUUCGAUCAUUUUUGGCGAAUUGCUAGUCUAAUUCGAUUGGAAUCGAGCCAAUGAAAUGUGGUUUUCGAUUUCAUGAUAACUUCGGGUUUGUUCAUUUUUGGUGAAUUGCUAGUCUAAUUCGAUUGGAAUCGAGCCAAUGAAAUGUGGUUUUCGAUUUCAUGAUAACUUCGGGUUUGUUCAUUUUUGGUGAAUUGCUAGUCUAAUUCGAUUGGAAUCCAGCCAAUGAAAUGUGGUUUUCGAUUUCUUGAUAACUUCGGGAUUGUUCAUCUUCGCCAAAUUGCUAGUCUAAUUCGAUUGGAAUCGAGCCAGUGAAAAGUGGCUUUCGAUUUCAUGAUAACUUCGGGGUUGUUCAUUUUUAGCGAAUUGCUAGUCUAAUUCGAUUGGAAUCAAGCAAAUGGAAUUUGGUUUUCGGAUGAGCGAAUCGCUAGUCUCGUUCGAUUGGAAUCGAUCAAAUGAAAUGUGGUUUUCGAUUUCAUGAUAACUUUAGGUUUGUUCGUUUUUGGCGAAUUUCUAGUCUAAUUCAAUUGGAAUCGAGCCAUGAAAUGUGGUUUUCGAUUUCAUGAUAACUUCAGGUUUGUUCGUUUUUAGCGAAUUGCUAGUCUAAUUCGAUUGGAAUUGAGCCAAUGAAACGUGUAUUUCGAUUUCAUGACAACAUGGUCUGUUCAAUUUUGGCGAGUUGCUAGUAUAAUUUGAUUGGAAUCGAGCCAUGGAAUGUGGUUUUCGAUUUCAUGAUAACUUCGCGUUUGUUCAUUUUUGGCAAAUUGCUAGUCUAAUACGAUUGGAAUCGAGCCAUAAAAUGUGGUUUUCGAUUUCAUGAUAACUUUAGGUUUGUUCAUUUUUGGCGAAUUACUAAUGUAAUUCGAUUGGAUUCGAGCCAAUGAAAAUUGGUUUUCGAUUUCAUAAUAACUUUUUGUUUGUUUGUUUUUCGCGAAUGGCUAGUCCAAUUCGAUUGAAAUCGAGCCAAUGAAAUGUGGUUUUCGAUUUCAUGAUAACUUCGGGUUUGUUCGUUUUUAGCGAAAUGCUAGUUUAAUUCAAUUGGAAUCAAGCAAAUGGAAUCUGAUUUUCGAUUUCAUGAUAACUUCGGGUUUGUUCAUUUUUGACGAAUUGCUAGUGUAGUUCGAUUGGAAUCGAGCCAAUGAAAUGUGGUUUUCGAUUUCAUGAUAACUUCAGGUUUGUUCUUUUUUGCGAAUUGCUAGUCUAAUUCGAAUGGAAUCGAGCCAUGAAAUGUGGUUUUCGAUUUCAUGAUAAGUUCGGGUUUGUUCAUUUUUAGAAAUUUCCUAGUCUAAUUCAAUUGGAAUCGAGCCAAUGAAACGUGUAUUUUGAUUUCAUGAUAACUUCGGGUCUGUUUAUUUUUGGCGAAUUGCUAGUUUAAUUCGAUUGGAAUCGAGCCAUGAAAUGUGGUUUUCGAUUUCAUGAUAACUUCGCGUUUGUUCAUUUUUGGCGAAUUGCUAGUCUAAUUCGAUUGGAAUCGAGCCAUUAAAUAUGGUUUUCGAUUUCAUGAUAACUUUAGGUUUGGUCAUAUUUAGCGAAUUACUAAUGUAAUUCAAUUGGAAUCAAGCCAAUGAAAAUUGGUUUUCGAAUCUAUAAUAACUUUUUGUCUGUUUGUUUUUGGCGAAUUGCUAGUCUAAUACGAUUGGAAUCGAGCCAAUGAAAUGUGGUUUUCGAUUUCAAGAUAACUCCGUGUUUUUUCAUUUUUGGCGAAUUGAAAGUCUAAUUCGAUUGGAAUCGAGCCAAUGAAAUGUGGUUUUCGGUUUCACGAUAACUUCGGGUUUGUUCAUUUUUAAUGGAUUGCUAGUCUAAUUCGAUUGGAAUCGUGCCAAUGAAAUGUAGUUUUCGAUUUCAUGAUAACUUCGGGUUUGUUCAUUUUUUUGCGAGUUGCUAGUCUAAUUCGAUUGGAAUCGAGCCAAUGAAAUGUGGUUUUCGAUUUCAUGAUAACUUCGGGUUUGUUCUUUUUUGGCGACUUGCAAGUCUUAUUCGAUUGGAAUCGAGUCAACGAAAUGUGGUUUUCGAUUUCAUGAUAACUUCGGGUUUGUUUGUUUUUAGAGAAUUGCUAUUCUAAUUCGAUUGGAAUUGAGCCAAAGAAACGUGUAUUUCGAUUUCACGAUAACGUCGGAUCUAUUCUUUUUUGGCAAAUUGCUAGUCUAGUUCGAUUAGAAUCGAGCCAUGAAAUGUGGUUUUCGAUUUCAUGAUAACUUUAGGUUUGUUCAUUUUUGGCGAAUUACUAAUGUAAUUCGAUUGGAAUCGAACCAAUGAAAAUUGUUUUUUCGAUUUCAUAAUCACUUUUUGUAUGUUCGUUUUUGGCGAAUAGCUAUUCUAAUUCGAUUAGAAUCGAGCCAAUGAAAUGUGGUUUUCGAUUUCGUGAUAACUUCGGGUUUGUUCAUUUUUAGAGAAUUGCUAGUCUAAUUCGAUUGGAAUCGAGCCAAUGAAACGUGUAUUUCGAUUUCGUGAUAACUUCAGGUCUGUUCAUUUUUGGGGAAUUGCUAGUGUAAUUCGAUUGGAAUCAGGCUAUGAAAUGUGGUUUUCGAUUUCAUGACAACUUCGCGUUUGUUCAUUUUUGGCGAAUUGCUACUCUAAUUCGAUUGGAAUCGAGCCAAUGAAAUGUGGUUUUCGAUUUCACGAUAACUUCGGGUUUGUUCAUUUUUGACGAAUUGCUAGUCUAAUUCAAUUGGAAUCGAGCUAAUGAAAUGUAGUUUUCGAUUUCAUGAUAACUUCGUGUUUUUUCAUUUUUUGCUAAUUGCUAGUCUAAUUCGAUUGGAAUCGAGCCAAUGAAGUGUGGUUUUCGAUUUCAUGAUAACUUCGGGUUUGUUCAUUUUUGGAGAAUUGCAAGUCUAAUUCGAUUGGAAUUGAGACAAUGAAAUGUGGUUUUGGAUUUCAUGAUAACUUCACGUUUGUUCAUUUUCGGCGAAUUGCCAGUCUAAUUCGAUUGGAAUCGAGCCAUGAAACGUGGUUUUUGAUUUCAUGAUAACUUUAUGUUUGUUCAUUUUUGGCGAAUUACUAAUGUAAUUCGAUUUGAAUCGAGCCAAUGAAAAUUGGUUUUCAAUUUCAUAAUAACUUUCUGUCUGUUUGUUUUUGGCGAAUAGCUAGUCUAAUUCGAUUAGAAUCGAGCCACUGAAAUGUGUAUGUUGAUUUCAUGUCAACUUCGGGUCUGUUCAUUUUUGGCGAAUUGCUAGUCUAAUUCGAUUGGAAUCGAGCCAAUGAAACGUGUAUGUCGAUUUCAUGUCAACUUCGGGUCUGUUCAUUUUUGGCGAAUUGCUAGUCUAAUUCGAUUGGAAUCGAGCCAAUGAAACGUGUAUGUCGAUUUCAUGUCAACUUCGGGUCUGUUCAUUUUUGGCGAAUUGCUAGUCUAAUUCGAUUGGAAUCGAGCCAAUGAAACGUGUAUGUCGAUUUCAUGUCAACUUCGGGUCUGUUCAUUUUUGGCGAAUUGCUAGUCUAAUUCCAUUGGAAUCGAGCCAUGAAAUGUGGUUUUCGAUUUCAUGAUAACUUUGAGUUUGUUUAUUUUUGGCGAAUUGCUAGUCUAAUUCGAUUACAACGGAGUCAGCGAAAUGUGGUUUUCGAUUUCAUGAUAACUUCUGGUUUGUUCAUUUUAGGCGAAUUGGUAGUCUAAGUCGAUUGGAAUUGAGCCAAUGAAAUGUGAUUUUCGAUUUCAUGAGAACUUCGGGCUUGUUCGUUUUUGGCGAAUUGCUAGACUAAUUCGAUUGGAAUCGAGCCAUGAAAUGUGGUUUUCAAUUUCAUGAUAACUUUAGGUUUGUUCAUUUUUAGCGAAUUGGUAGUCUAAUUCUAUUGGAAUCGAGCCAUUGAAAAUUGUUUUUCGAUUUCAUGAUAACUUUUUGAAUGUUCGUUUUUGGCAAAUAGCUAGUCUAAUUCGAUUGGAAUCGAGCUAAUGAAAUGUGGUUUUCGAUUUCAUGAUAGCUUCGAGUUUGUUCGUUUUUAGCGAAUUGCUAGUCUAAUUCGAUUGGAAUCGAGCCAAUGAAACCUGUGCUUCGAUUUCAUGAUAACUUCGGGUCUGUUCAUUUUUUGGGUAAUUGCUAGUGUCAUUCGAUUGGAAUCGAGUCAUGAAAUGUGGUUUUGAUUUCAUGAUAACUUCAAGUUUGUUCAUUUUUGGCGAAUUGGUAGUCUAAUUCGAUUGGAAUCGAGCCAAUGAAAUGUGGUUUUCGAUUUCAUGAUAACUUCGGGUUUGUUUGCUUUUGGCGAAUUACGAGUCUAAUUCGAUUGGAAUCGCGCCAUGAAAUGUUGUUUUCGAUUUCAUGAUAACUUUAGGUUUGUUCGUUUUUGGCGAAUUACUAAUGCAGUUCGAUUGGAAUCGAGCUAAUGAAAAUUGGUUUUCGAUUUCAUAAUAACUUUUUCUUUGUUUGUUUUUGGCGAAUAGCUAGCCUAAUUUGAUUGGGAUCGAGCCAAUGAAAUGUUGUUUUCGAUUUUAUGAUAACUUCGAGUUUGUUCAUUUUUAGUGAAUUGUUAGUCUAAUUCGACUGGAAUCGAACCAAUGAAACGUGUAUUUCGAUUUCUUGAUAACUUUGGGUCUGUUCAUUUUUGGCGAAUUGCUAGUCUAAUUCGAUUAGAAUCGAGCCAAUAAAAUGUGGUUUUCAAUUUCAUGAUAACUUCGGGUUUAUUCAUUUUUAGAGAAUUGCUAGUCUAAUUCGAUUGGAAUUGAGCCAAAGAAACGUGUAUUUCGAUUUCACGAUAACUUCAGGUCUAUUCUUUUUUGGCGAAUUGCUAGUCUAAUUUGAUUGAAAUCGAACCAUGAAAUGUGGUUUUCGAUUUCAUGAUAACUUUGGGUUUGAUCAUUUUUGGCGAAUUGCUAGGCUAAUUCGAUUGGAAUCAAGCAAAUGGAAUUUGGUUUUCGGAUUCAUGAUAACUUCGGGUUUGUUCGUUUUUGGCGAAUUGCUAGUCUAGUUCGAUUGGAAACGAGCCAAUGAAAUCAUGAUAACUUUAGGUUUGUUUGUUUUUUGCGAAUCGCUAAUCUAAUUCAAUUGGAAUCGAGCCAUGAAAUGUGGUUUUCGAUUUCAUGAUAACUUCGGGUUUGUUUGUUUUUAGCGAAUCGUUAGUCUAACUCGAUUGGAAUCGAGCCAGUGAAACGUGUAUUUCGAUUUCAUGAUAACUUCGGGUCUGUUCAUUUUUGGCGAAUUGCUAGUCUAAUUCGAUUGGAAGCGAGCCAUGAAAUGUGGUUUUCGAUUUCAUGAUAACUUCGCGUUUGUUCAUUUUUGGCGAAUUGCUAGUCUAAUUCGAUUGGAAGCGAGCCAUGAAAUGUGGUUUUCGAUUUCAUGAUAACUUCGCGUUUGUUCAUUUUUGGCGAAUUGCUAGUCUAAUUCGAUUGGAAUCGAGUCAUGAAAUGUGGUUUUCGAUUUCACGAUAACUUUAGGUUUGUUUGUUUUUGGCGAAUUACUAAUGUAAUUCGAUUGGAAUCGAGCCAACGAAAAUUGGUUUUCGAUUUCAUAAUAACUUUUUGUCAGUUUAUUUUUGGCGAGUAGCUAGUCUAAUUCGAUUGGAAUCGAGCCAAUGAAACGUGAUUUCCGAUUUCAUGAUAACUUCGGGUUUGUUCAUUUUUAGCGAACUGCUAGUCUAAUUCGAUUGGAAUCAAGCAAAUGGAAUUUGGUUUUCGGUUUCAUGAUAAAUUCGGGUUUGUUCAUUUUUGGCGAAUUGCUAGUCUAGUUCGAUUGGAGUGGAGCCAAUGAAAUAUGGUUUUCGAUCUCAUGAUAACUUCAGGUUUGUUCGUUUUUGGCGAAUUGCUAGUCUAAUUCGAGUGGAAUCGAGCCUGAAAUGUGGUUUUCGAUUUUAUGAUAACUUCGAGUUUGUUCGUUUUUAGCGAUUUGCUAGUCUAAUUCGGUUGGAAUUGAGCCAAUGAAAUGUCUAUUUCGAUUUCAUGAUAACUUCCGGUCUGUUCAUUUCUGGCGAAUUGCUAUUCUAAUUCGAUUGGAAUCGAGCCAUGAAAUGUGGUUUUCGAUUUCAAGAUAACUUCGCGUUUGUUCAGUUUUGGCGAAUUGCUAAUCUAAUUCAAUUGGAAUCGAGCCAUGAAAUGUGGUUUUCGAUUUUGUGAUAACUUUAGGUUUGUUCAUUUUUGGCGAAUUACUAAUGUCAUUCGAUUGGAAUCGAGCCAAUGAAAAUUGGUUUUUGAAUUUAUAAUAACGUUUUGUCAGUUUGUUUUUGGCGAAUAGCUAGUCUAAUUCGAUUGGAAUCGAGCCAAUGAAAUGUGGUUUUCGAUUUUAAGAUAACUCUGGGUUUGUUCAUUUUUGGCGAAUUGCAAGUCUAAUUCAAUUAGAAUCGAGCCAAUGAAAUGUGGUUUUCAAUUUCACGAUAACUUCGGAUUUGUUCAUUUUUAACGGAUUGCUAGUCUAAUUCGAUUGGAAACGAGCCAAUGAAAUGUGGUUUUCGAUUACAUGAUAACUUCGGGUUUGUUCAUUUUUGGCGAAUUGCUAGUCUUAUCCGAUUGGCAUCGAGUCGACGAAAUGUAGUUUUCGAUUUCAAGAUAACUUCGGGUUUGUUUGUUUUUGACGAAUUGCUAGUCUAAUUCGAUUGGAAUGGAACAAGUGAAAAGUUGCUUUUGAUUUAAUGAUAACUUCGGGUUUGUUUGUUUUUGACCAAUUGCUAGUCCAAUUUGAUUAGAAUCGAUCCAAUGAAAUGUGGUUUUCGAUUUCAUGAUAACGUCGGGUUUGUUCAUUUUUAGAGAAUUGCUAGUCUAAUUUGAUUGGAAUUGAACCAAAGAAACGUGUAUUUCGAUUUCACGAUAACUUCGGGUCUAUUCUUUUUUGGCGAAUUGCUAGUCUAAUUCGAUUGGAAUCGAACCAUGAAAUGUGGUUUUUGAUUUCAUGAUAACUUCGGGUUUGAUCCUUUUUGGCGAAUUGCUAGUCUAAUUCGAUUGGAAUCAAGCAAAUGGAAUUUGGUUUUCAGUUUCAUGAUAACUUCGGGUUUGUUCGUUUUUGGCGAAUUGCUAGCCUAGUUCGAUUGGAAUCAAGCCAAUGAAUUGUGGUUUUCGAUUUCAUGAUAACUUCAAGUUUGUUCAUUUUUGGCGAAUUGCUAGUCUAAUUCAAUUGGAAUCGAGCAAUGAAAUGUGGUUUUCGAUUUCAUGAUAACUUCGGGUUUGUUCUUUUUUGCGAAUUACUAGUCUAAUUCGAUUGGAAUCGAGCCAAUGAAACGUGCAUUUCGAUUUCAUGAUAAUUUCGGGUCUUUUCAUUUUUGGCGAAUUCUAGUCUAAUUCGAUCGGAAUCGAGCCAUGAAAUGUGAUUUUCGAUUUCAUGAUAACUUCGCGCUUGUUCAUUUUUGGCGAAUUGCUAGUCUAUUUCAAUUGGAAUCGAGCCAUGAAAUGUGGUUUUCGAUUUCAUGAUAACUUUAGGUUUGUUCAUUUUUGGCGAAUUACUAAUGUAAUUUGAUUGGAAUCGAGCCAAUUAAAAUUGGUUUUCGAAUUUAUAAUAACUUUUUGUCUGUUUGUUUUUGGCGAAUAGCUAGUCUAAUUCGAUUGGAAUCGAGCCAAUGAAAUGUGGUUUUCGAUUUCAAGAUAACUUCGGGUUUGUUCAUUUUUGGCGAAUUGCAAGUCUAAUUCAGUUGGAAUCGAACCAAUGAAAUGUGGUUUUCGAUUUCACGAUAACUUCGGGUUUGUUCAUUUUUAACGAAUUGCUAGUCUAAUUCGAUUGGAAUCGAGCCAAAGAAAUGUGGUUUUCGAUUUCAAGAUAACUUCGGGUUUGUUCAUUUUUUACGAAUUGCUAGUCUAAUUCGAUUGGAAUCGAGCCAAUGAAAUGUGGUUUUUGAUUUCAUGAUAACUUCGAGUUUGUUCAUUUUUGACGAAUUGCUAGUCUUAUUCGAUUGGUAUCGAGUCGAAGAAAUGUGGUUUUCAAUUUCAUGAUAACUUCGGGUUUGUUUGUUUUUGGCGAACUGCUAGUCUAAUUCGAUUGGAAUCGAACCAGUGAAAAGUUGCUUUUGAUUUAAUGAAAACUUCAGGUUUGUUUGGUUUUGGAGAAUUGCUGUCUAAUUUGAUUAGAAUCGAGCCAAUGAAAUGUGGUUUACGAUUUAAUGAUAACUUCAGAUUUGUUCGUUUUUAGAGAAUUGCUGGUCUAAUUCGACUGGAAUUGAGCUAAAGGAACGUGUAUUUCGAUUUCAAGAAAACUUCAGGUCUAUUCUUUUUUGGCGAAUUGCUAGUCUAAUUCGAUUGGAAUCGAACCAUGAAAUGUGGUUUUCGAUUUCAUGAUAUCUUCGGGUUUGAUCAUUUUUGGCGAAUUGCUAGUCUAAUUCGAUUGAAAUCAAGCAAAUGGAAUUUGGUUUUCGAUUUCAUGAUAACUUCAGGUUUGUUCGUUUUUGGCGAAUUGCUAGUCCAAUUCAAUUGGAAUCGAGCCAAUGAAACGUGGUUUUCGAUAUCAUGAUAACUUCAGGUUUCUUCAUUUUUGGUGAAUUGCUAAUCUAAUUUGAUUGGAAUCGGGCCAAUGAAAUGCGAUUUUUGAUUUCAUGAUAACUUCGGGUUCGGUCGUUUUUGGCGAAUUGCUAGUCUGAUUCUACUGGAAUCGAACCAUGAAAUGUGGUUUUCAUUUUCACGUUAACUUUGGGUUUGUUCAUUUUUGGUGAAUCGCUAGUCUGAUUCGAUUGGAAUCGAGCCAAUGAAAUGUGGUUUUCUAUUUCAAGAUAACUUCGGGUUUCUUCCUUUUUGGCGAAUUGCUAGUCUGAUUCGACUGGAAUCGAGCCAUGAAAUGUUGUUUUCGUUUGCAUGAUAACAUCGGGUUUUUUCAUUUUUGGCGAAUUGCUAGUCUGAUUCGAUUGGAAUCGAGCCAAUGAAAUGUGGUUUUCGAUUUCAAGAUAACUUCGGGUUUGUUCAUUUUUGGCGAAUUGCUAGCCUUAUUCGAUUUUAAUUGAGCCAAUGAAAUGUGGUUUUCGAUUUCUUGAUAACUUCGAGUUUGUUCAUUUUUGGCGAAUUGCUAGUCUUAUUCGAUUGGAAUCAAGCCAAUGAAACGUGUAUUUCAAUUUCAUGAUAACUGCAUGUUUGUUCCAUUUUGAUGAAUUGCUAAUCUAAUUCGAUUAGAAUCGAGCCACGAAAUGUGGUUUUGGAUUUCACGAUAACUUCGGAUUUUAUCAUUUUCGACGAAUUGCUAGUCUAAUUCGGUUGGAAUCAAGACAACGGAAUGUGGUUUUCGACUUCGUGAUAAAUUUGGGUUUGUUCAUUUGUGGUGAAUUGCUAAUCUAAUUUGAUUGGAAUCGAGCCAACGAAAUCUGGUUUUCGAUUUCAUGAUAACUUCGGGUUUGGACGUUUUUGGCGAAUAGCUAGUCUAAUUCGAUUGGAAUCGAGCCAUAAAAUGUGGUUUUCGAUUUCAUGAUAACUUCGGGUUUGUUCGUUUUUGGCGAAAUGCUAGUCUAAUUCGAUUGGAAUAAAGCCAAUCAAAUGUGUAUUUUGAUUUCAUGAUAACUUCAGGUUUGUUCAUUUUUGGCGAAUUGCUAGUCUAAUUCGAAUGGAAUCGAGCCAUGAAAUGUGGUUUUCGAUUUUAUGAUGACUUCGAGUUUAUUCAUUUUUAGCGAUUUGCUAGUCUAAUUCGAUUGGAAUCGAGCCAAUGAAACGUGUAUUUCGAUUUCAUGAUAACUUCAGGUCUGUUCAUUUUUUACGAAUUGCUAUUCUAAUUCGAUUGGAAUCGAGCCAUGAAAUUUGGUUUCCGAUUUCAAGAUAACUUCGCAUUUGUUCAUUUUUGGUGAAUUGCUAAUCUAAUUAGAUUGGUAUUGAGCCGUGCAAUGUGGUUUUCGAUUUCAUGAUAACUUUUGGUUUGUUCAUUUUUGGCGAAUUACUAAUGUAAUUCGAUUGGAAUCGAGCCAAUGAAAAUUGGUUUUUGAAUUUAUAAUAACGUUUUGUCAGUUUGUUUUUGGCAAAUAGUUAGUCUAAUUCGAUUGGAAUCGAGCCAAUGAAAUGUGGUUAUCAAUUUCAAGAUAACUCUGGGUUUGUUCAUUUUUGGCAAAUUGCAAGUCUAAUUCGAUUGGAAUCGAGCCAAUGAAAUGUGGUUUUCGAUUUCACGAUAACUUAGGGUUUGUUUAUUUUUAAUGAAUUGCUAGUCUAGUUCGAUUGGAAUCGAGCCAAUGAAAUGCGGUUUUCGAUUUCAUGAUAACUUCGGGUUUGUUCAUUUUUUUGCGAAUUGCUAGUCUAAUUCGAUUGGAAUCGAGCCAAUGAAGUGUGGUUUUCGAUUUCAUGAUAACUUCGGGUUUGUUCAUUUUUGGCGAAUUGCUAGUCUUAUUCGAUUGGAAUCGAGCCAAUGAAAUGUUGUUUUCGAUUUCAAGAUAACUUCGGGUUUGUUCUUUUUGGCGAAUUGCUAGUCUUAUUCGAUUGGAAUCGAGCCAAUGAAAUGUGGUUUUUGAUUUUGAGAUAACUUCGGGUUUGAUCAUUUUUUGAGAAUUGCAAGUCUAAUUCGAUUGGAAUCGAGACAGUGAAAUGUGGUUUUCGAUUUGACGAUAACUUUGGGUUUGUUCAUUUUUAACGAAUUGCUAGUCUAACUCGAUUGGAAUCGAGCCAAUGAAAUGUGGUUUUCGAUUUCAUGAUAACUUCGGGUUUGUUUAUUUUCUGCGAAUUGCUAGUCUAAUUCGAUUGGAAUAGAGCCAAUGAAAUGAGGUUUUCGAUUUCAUGAUAACUUCGGGUUUGUUCAUUUUUGGCGAAUUGCUAGUCUUAUACGAUUGGAAUCGAGUCGACGAAAUGUGGUUUUCGAUUUCAUAAUAACUUUGGGUUUGUUUGUUUUUGGCGAAUUGCUAGUCUAAUUCGAUUAGAAUCGAACAAGUGAAAAGUUGCUUCUGAUUUAAUGAUAACUUCGGGUUUGUUUGUUUUUCGCGAAUUGCUAGUCUAAUUUGAUUAGAAUCGAUCCAAUGAAAUGUGGUUUUCGAUUUCAUGAUAACUUUGGGUUUGUUUAUUUUUUACGAAUUGCUAGUCUGAUUCGAUUGGAAUCGAGCCAUGAAAUGUGGUUUUCGAUUUCAUGAUAACUUCGGGUUCGGUCGUUUUUGGCGAAUAGCUAGUCUAAUUCUAUUGGAAUCGAGCCAUGAAAUGUGGUUUUCGAUUUCAUGAUAACUUCGGGUUUGUUUGUUUUUGGCGAACUGCUAGUCUAAUUCGAUUGGAAUCGAACCAGUGAAAAGUUGCUUUCGAUUUAAUGAUAAAUUCGGAUUUGUUCGUUUUUAGAGAAUUGCUAGUCCAAUUCGAUUGGAAUUGAGCUAAAGGAAAGUGUAUUUCGAUUUCAUGAUAGCUUCAGGUCUAUUCUUUUUUGGCGAAUUGCUAGUCUAAUUCGUUUGGAAUCGAACCAUGAAAUGUGGUUUUCAAUUUCAUGAUAACUUUGGGUUUGAUCAUUUUUGGCGAAUUGCUAGUCUAAUUCGAUUGGAAUCAAGCAAAUGGAAUUUGGUUUUCGGUUUCAUGAUAACUUCAGGUUUGUUCGUUUUUGGUGAAUUGCUAGCCUAAUUCGAUUGGAAUCAAGCAAAUGGAAUUUGGUUUUCGGUUUCAUGAUAACUUCAGGUUUGUUCGUUUUUGGUGAAUUGCUAGCCUAAUUCGAUUGGAAUCAAGCCAAUGAGACGUGGUUUUUUAUUUCAUGAUAACUUUGGGUUUUAUCAUUUUUAGCGAAUUGCUAGUCUAAUUCGAUUGGAAUCAAGCAAAUGGAAUUUGGUUUUCGAUUUCAUAAUGACUUCGGGUUUGUUCGUUUUUGGCGAAUUGCUAGUCUAAUUUGACUGGAAUCGAGCCAAUGAAAUGUGGUUUUCGAUUUCAUGAUAACUUUUGGUGUGUUCAUUUUUGGCGAAUUGCUAGUCUAAUUCGAUUGGAAUCGAGCCAAUGAAAUGUGGCUUUUGAUUUCAUGAUAAAUUCGGGUUUCUUCAUUUCUGGCGAAUUGCUAAUCUAAUUUAAUUGGAAUCGAGCCAAUGAAAUGUGAUUUUUGAUUUCAUGAUGACUUCGGGUUCGGUCCUUUUUGGCGAAUUGCUAGUCUGACUCUACUGGAAUCGAACCAUGAAAUGUGGUUUUCAUUUUCAUGUUAACUUUGGGUUUGUUCAUUUUUGGCAAAUCGCUAAUCUGAUUUGAUUGGAAUCGAGCCAAUGAAAUGUGGUUUUCGAUUUCAUGAUAAUUUCAGGUUUGUUCCUUUUUGGCGAAUUGCUAGUCUGAUUCGACUGGAAUCGAGCCAUGAAAUGUUGUUUUCGUUUUCAUGAUAACAUCGUGUUUGUUCAUUUUUGGCGAAUUGCUAGUCUAAUUCGAUUGGAAUCGAGACAUUGAAAUGUGGUUUUCGAUUUCAAGAUAACUUCGGGUUCGUUCGUUUUUGGCGCAUUGCUAGUCUUAUUCGAUUUUAAUCGAGCCAAUGAAAUGUGGUUUUCGAUUUCAUGAUAACUUCGGGUUUGUUCGUUUUUGGCGAAUUGCUAGUCUAGUUCGAUUGGAAUCAAGCCAAUGAAACGUGUAUUUCAAUUUCAAGAUAACUACGGGUUUGUUCAUUUUUGACGAAUUGCUAGUCUAAUUUGAUUGGAAUCGAGCCAUGAAAUGUGGUUUUCGAUUUCAUAUUAACUUUUUGUUUGUUCGUUUUUGGCGAAUAGCUAGUCUAAUUCGAUUGGAAACGAGCCAAUGAAAUGUGGUUUUUGAUUUCUUGAUAACUUUAGGUUUGUUCCUUUUUAGCGAAUUGCUUGCCUAAUUCGAUUGGAAUCGAGCUAAUGAAACGUGUACUUCGAUUUCAUGAUAACUUCGGGUCUGUUCAUUUUUGGCGAAUUGCUAGUCUAAUUCGAUUGGAAUUGAGCCAUUAAAUGAGUUUUUCGAUAUCUUGAUAACUUUGGGUUUGUUCAUUUUUGACGAAUUGCUAGUGUAAUUCGAUUGGAAUCGAGCCAAUGAAAUGUGGUUUUUGAUUUCAUGAUAACUUUGGGCUAAUACAUUUAUGGAGAAUUGCUAUUCAAAUUCGAUUGGAAUCGAGCCAAUGAAAUGUUGUUUUCGAUUUCAUGAUAACUUCGGGUUUGCUCGUUUUUGACGAAUUGCUAGUCUAAUUCGACUAGAAUCGGGCCAUGAAAUGUGGUUUUCUAUUUCAUGAUAACUUCGGGUUUGUUCAUUUUUGGCGAAUUGGUAGUCUAAUUCGUCUGCAAUCCAGUCAUGAAAUGUGGUUUUCGAUUUCAGUAUAGCUUCGGGUUUGUUCAUUUUUGGCGAAUUGCUAGUCUGAUUCGACUGGAAUCGAGCCAUGAAAUGUUGUUUUCGUUUUCAAGAUAACUUUGGGUUUGUUCAUUUUUGGCGAAGUGCUAGUCUAAUUCGAUUAAAAUCGAGCCAAUGAAAUGUGGUUUUCGAUUUCAUGAUACCUUCGGGUUCGGUCAUUUUUGGCGAAUAGCUAGUCUAAUUCGAUUGGAAUCGAGCCCACGAAAUGUGGUUUUUGAUUUCUUGAUAAAUUCGGGUUUGUUCAUUUUUGGCGAAUUACUAGUCUGAUUCGAUUGGAAUCGAGCCAAUGAAAUGUGGUUUUCGAAUUCAUGAUAACUUCAGGUUUUAUCAUUUUUGGCGAAUUGCUAGUCUAAUUCGAUUGGAAUCGAGCCCACGAAAUGUGGUUUUUGAUUUCUUGAUAAAUUCGGGUUUGUUCAUUUUUGGCGAAUUGCUAAUCUAAUUUGACUGGAAUCGAGCCAAUGAAAUGUGAUUUUCGAUUUCAUGAUACCUUCGGGUUCGGUCAUUUUUGGCGAAUAGCUAGUCUAAUUCGAUUGGAAUCGAGCCAUGAAAUGUGGUUUUCGAUUUCAUGAUAACUUUGGGUUUGUUCAUUUUUGGCGAAGUGCUAGUCUAAUUCGAUUAAAAUCGAGCCAAUGAAAUGUGGUUUUCGAUUUCAUGAUAACUUCGGGUUCGGUCAUUUUUGGCGAAUAGCUAGUCUAAUUCGAUUGGAAUCGAGCCAUGAAAUGUGGUUUUCUAUUUCAUGAUAACUUCGGGUUUGUUCAUUUUUGGCGAAUUGGUAGUCUGAUUCGUCUACAAUCCAGUCAUGAAAUGUGGUUUUCGAUUUCAGUAUAAGUUCGGGUUUGUUCAUUUUUGGUGAAUUGCUAGUCUGAUUCGACUGGAAUCGAGCCAUGAAAUGUUGUUUUCGUUUUCAUGAUAACUUCGGGUUAGUUCAUUUUUGGCGAAUUGCUAGUCUGAUUCGAUUGGAAUCGAGCCAAUGAAAUGUGGUUUUCGAUUUCAUGAUAACUUCGGGUUUGUUCAUUUUUGGCGAAUUGCUAGCCUAAUUCGAUUGGAAUCGAGCCAAUGAAAUGUGGUUUUCGAAUUCAUGAUAACUUCAGGUUUUAUCAUUUUUGGCAAAUUACUAGUCUAAUUCGAUUGGAAUCGAGCCCACGAAAUGUGGUUUUCGAUUUCAUGAUAAAUUCGGGUUUGUUCAUUUUUAGCGAAUUGCUAAUCUAAUUUGAUUGGAAUCGAGCCAAUGAAAUGUGGUUUUCGAUUUCAUGAUAACUUCGGGUUCGGUCAUUUUUGGCGAAUAGCUAGUCUAAUUCGAUUGGAAUCGAGCCAUGAAAUGUGGUUUUCGAUUUCAUGAUAACUUUGGGUUUGUUCGUUUUUGGCGAAGUGCUAGUCUAAUUUGAUUAAAAUCGAGCCAAUGAAACGUUGUUUUCGAUUUCAGGAUAACUUCGGGUUUGUCCGUUAUUGGCGAAUUGCUAGUCUAAUUUGACUGGAUUUGAGCCAAUGAAAUGUGGUUUUCGAUUCCAUGAUAACUUCAGGUUUGUUCAUUUUUAGCGAAUAGCUAGUCUAAUUCGAUUGGAAUCUAGCCAAUGAAAUGUGGUUUUCGUUUUCAUGAUAACUUCGGUUUAUUCGUUAUUGGCGAAUUGCUAGUCCAAUUGGAUUGGAAUCGAGCAAAUGAAAUUUGGUUUUCGAUUUCAUGAGAACUUCGGGUUUGUUCAUUUUUGGCGAAAUGCAAGUCUAAGUAGAUUGGAAUCGAGCCGAUGAAAUGUCGUUUUCAAUUUCAUGACAACAAAUAACUUCGGGUUUUCUCAUUUCGGGUGAAUUGCUAGUCUAAUUUGAUUGGAAUCGAGCCCGUGAAAAGUGGCUUUUGAUUUCAUGAUAAUUUCGAUUUUGUUUGUUUUUGGCGAAUUGCUAGUCUAAUUCGAUUGGAAUCGAGCCAAUGAAAUGUGAUUUUCGAUUAAAUGAUAACUUCGGGUUUGUUCAUUUUUAGCGAAUUGCUAGUCUAAUUAGAUUGGAAUCAAGCCGACGAAACGUGUAUUUCGAUUUCAUGAUAACUUCGGGUCUGUUAUUUUUGGCGAAUUCUAGUCUAAUUCGAUUGGAAUCGAGCCAUGAAAUGUUGUUUUCGAUUUCAUGAUGACUUCGAGUUUGUUCAUUUUUGGCGAACCGCUAGUCUAAUUUGAUUUGAAUCGAGCCAAAGAAUUGUGGUUUUCGAUUUCAUGAUAACUUCGGGUUUGUUCAUUUUUGGCGAAUUGUUAGUCUAAUUCAAUUGGAAUCGAGCCAUGAAAUGUGGUUUUCGAUUUCAUGAUAACCCGUUGUUAGCGAAUUACUAGUCUAAUUUGAUUGGAAUCGAGCCAAUUAAAUGUGGUUUUCGAUUUCAUGAUAACUUCGGGUUUUCUCAUUUUUGGCGAAUUGCUAGUCCAAUUCGACUGGAAUCGAGCCAAUGAAACGUGGUUUUUGAUUUCAUAAUAACUUCGGGUUUCUUCGUUUUUGGCGAAUUGCUAGUCUAAUUCGACUGGAAUCGAGCCGUGAAAUGUGGUUUUCGAGUUUGUUCCAUUUUGGCAUAUUGCCAGUCUGAUUCGAUUGGAAUCGAGCCAAUGAAACGUGUAUUUCGAUUAAAUGAGAACUUCGGGUCUGUUCAUUUUUGGCAAAUUGCUAUUCUACCUCGAUUGGAAUGGAGCCAUGAAAUGUUGUUAUCGGUUUCAUGAUAACUUCUGGUUUGUUUAUUUUUGGUGAAUUGCUAGUCUAAUUCGAUUGAAAUCGAACCAAUGAAAAUUCUUUCUCGAUUUCAUAUUAACUUUUUGUUUGUUCAUUUUUGGCGAAUAGCUAGUCUAAUUCGAUUGGAAACGAGCCAAUGAAAUGUGGUUUUUGAUUUCAUGAUAACUUUGGGUUUGUUCCUUUUUAGCGAAUUGCUUGCCUAAUUCGAUUGGAAUCGAGCCAAUGAAUCAUGUACUUCGAUUUCAUGAUAACUUCGGGUCUGUUCAUUUUUGGCGAAUUGCUAGUCUAAUUCGAUUGGAAUUGAGCCAUUAAAUGAGUUUUUCGAUUUCUUGAUAACUUUGGGUUUGUUCAUUUUUGACGAAUUGCUAGUGUAAUUCGAUUGGAAUCGAGCCGAUGAAAUCUGGUUUUCGAUUUCAUGAUAACUUUGGGUUUGUACAUUUAUGGAGAAUUGCUAUUCAAAUUCGAUUGGAAUCGAGCCAAUGAAAUGUUGUUUUCGAUUUCAUGAUAACUUCGGGUUUGCUCGUUUUUGGCGAAUUGCUAGUCUAAUUCGACUAGAAUCGAGCCAUGAAAUGUGGUUUUCUAUUUCAUGAUAACUUCGGGUUUGUUCAUUUUUGGCGAAUUGGUAGUCUGAUUCGUCUGCAAUCCAGUCAUGAAAUGUGGUUUUCGAUUUCAGUAUAGCUCCGGGUUUGUUCAUUUUUGGCGAAUUGCUAGUCUGAUUCGACUGGAAUCGAGCCAUGAAAUGUUGUUUUCGUUUUCAAGAUAACUUUGGGUUUGUUCAUUUUUGGCGAAUUACUAGUCUGAUUCGAUUGGAAUCGAGCCAAUGAAAUGUGGUUUUCGAUUUCAUGAUAACUUUGGGUUUGUUCAUUUUUGGCGAAUUACUAGUCUGAUUCGAUUGGAAUCGAGCCAAUGAAAUGUGGUUUUCGACUUCAUGAUAACUUCGGGUUUUUUCAUUUUUGGCGAAUUACUAGCCUAAUUCGAUUGGAAUCAAGCCAAUGAAAUGUGGUUUUCGAAUUCAUGAUAACUUCAGGUUUUAUCAUUUUUGGCGAAUUGCUAGUCUAAUUCGAUUGGAAUCGAGCCCACGAAAUGUGGUUUUUGAUUUCUUGAUAAAUUCGGGUUUGUUCAUUUUUAGCGAAUUGCUAAUCUAAUUUGAUUGGAAUCGAGCCAAUGAAAUGUGGUUUUCGAUUUCAUGAUAACUUCGGGUUCGGUCAUUUUUGGCGAAUAGCUAGUCUAAUUCGAUUGGAAUCGAGCCAUGAAAUGUGGUUUUCGAUUUCAUGAUAACUUUGGGUUUGUUCAUUUUUGGCGAAGUGCUAGUCUAAUUCGAUUAAAAUCGAGCCAAUGAAAUGUGGUUUUCGAUUUCAUGAUAACUUCGGGUUCGGUCAUUUUUGGCGAAUAGCUAGUCUAAUUCGAUUGGAAUCGAGCCAUGAAAUGUGGUUUUUGAUUUCAUGAUAACUUUGGGUUUGUUCAUUUUUGGCGAAGUGCUAGUCUAAUUCGAUUAAAAUCGAGCCAAUGAAACGUUGUUUUCGAUUUUAGGAUAAUUUCGGGUUUGUUCGUUAUUGGCGAAUUGCUAGUCUAAUUCGACUGGAUUUGAGCCAAUGAAAUGUGGUUUUUGAUUUCAUGAUAACUUCGGGUUUGUUCAUUUUUAGCGAAUAGCUAGUCUAAUUCAAUCGGAAUCUAGCCAAUGAAAUGUGGUUUUCGAUUUCAUGAUAACUUCGGGUUUGUUCGUUAUUGGCGAAUUGGUAGUCCAAUUGGAUUGGAAUCGAGCAAAUGAAAUGUUUUUUUCAAUUUCAUGAUAACUUCGGGUUUGUUCAUUUUUGGCGAAAUGCUAGUCUAAGUAGAUUGGAAUCGAGCCAAUGAAAUGUCGUUUUCGAUUUCAUGACAACAAAUAACUUCGGGUUUGCUCAUUUCAGGUGAAUUGCUUGUCUAAUUCUAUUGGAAUCGAGCCCGUGAAAAGUGGCUUUUGAUUUCAUGAUAAGUUCGAUUUUGUUUGUUUUUGACGAAUUGCUAGUCUAAUUCGAUUGGAAUCGAGCCAAUGAAAUGCGAUUUUCGAUUAAAUGAUAACUUCGGGUUUGUUCAUUUUUAGCGAAUUGCUAGUCUAAUUAGAUUGGAAUCGAGCCGACGAAACGUGUAUUUCGAUUUCAUGAUAACUUCGGGUCUAUUAUUUUUGGCGAAUUCUAGUCUAAUUCGAUUGGAAUCGAGCCAUGAAAUGUUGUUUUCGAUUUCGUGAUGACUUCGAGUUUGUUCAUUUUUGGCGAACCGCUAGUCUAAUUCGAUUGGAAUCGAGCCAAUGAAAUUGGUUUUCGAUUUCAUGAUAACUUCGGGCUUGUUCAUUUUUGGCGAAUUGUUAGUCUAAUUCAAUUGGAAUCGAGUCAUGAAAUGUGGUUUUCGAUUUCAUAAUAACUUUACGUUUGUUCGUUGUUGGCGAAUUGCUAGUCUAAUUUGAUUGGAAUCGAGCCAAUGGAAUGUGGUUUUCGAUUUCAUGAUAACUUCGGGUUUGUUCAUUUUUGGCGAAUUACUAGUCCAAUUCGACUGGAAUCGAGCCUAUGAAACGUGGUUUUCGAUUUCAUAAUAAUUUUGGGUUUCUUCGUUUUUGGCAAAUUGCUAGUCUAAUUCGACUGGAAUCGAGCCAUCAAAUGUGGUUUUCGAUUUCAUGAUAACUUCGCGUUUGUUCAUUUUUGGCGAAUUGAUAGUCUAAUUCGAUUGGAAUCGAGCCAAUGAAACGUGGUUUUCGAUUUCAUGAUAACUUCGGGUUUGUUCAUUUUUGGCGAAAUGCUUGUCUAAUUCGAUUGGAAUCAAGCCAAUCAAAUGUGGUUUUCGAUUUCCUGAUAACUUCGGGUUUGUUCCUUUUUGACGAAUAGCUAGUCUAAUUCGAUUGGAAUCGAGCCAAUGAAAUGUGGUUUUCGAUUUCAUGAUAACUACGGGUUUUUUCAUUUCUGGCGAAUUGCUAGUCUGAUUCGAUUGGUUUCGAGUCAAUGAAAUGUGGUUUUCGAUUUCAUGAUAACUUCGGGUUUGUUCAUUUUUGGCGAAUUGCUGGUCCAAUUUGAUUGGAAUCGAGCCAAUGAAAUGUGAUUUUCGAUUUCAUGAGAACAAAUAACUUCGAGUUUGUUCAUUUUUGGCGAAUUGCUAGUCUAAUUCGAUUGGAAUCGAGCCAGUGAAAAGUAGCUUUUGAUUUCAUGAUAACUUCGGUUUUGUUUGUUUUGGGCAAAUUGCUAGUCUAAUUCGAUUGGAAUUGAGCCAAUGACAAGUGAUUUUCGAUUAAAUGAUAACUUUGGGUUUGUUCAUUUUUUGCGAACUGGUAGUCUAAUUCGAUUGGAAUCGAGCCAAUGAAACGUGUAUUUCGAUUUCAUGAUAACUUCGGGUAUGUUAUUUUUGGCGAAUUGCUAGUCUAAUUCGAUUGGAAUCGAGCCAUGAAAUGUUGUUUUCGAUUUCAUGAUAACUUUGGGUUUGUUCAUUUUUGGCGAAUUGGUAGUCUAAUUCGAUUGGAAUCGAGCCAAUGAAAUGUGGUUUUUGAUUUCAUGAUAAGUUUUGGUUUGUUCAUUUAUGGCGAAUUGCUAGUCUAAUUCGAUUGGAAUUGAGCCAAUGAAAUGUGGUUUUCGAUUUCAUGAUAACUUCAGGUUUGUUCAUUUUUAGCGAAUUGCUAGUCUCAUUCGAUUGGAAUCGAGCCACUGAAACGUUUAUUUCGAUUUCAUGAUAACUUCAGGUCUAUUCAUUUUUGGCAAAUUCUUAGUCUAAUUCGAUUGGAAUCGAGCCAUAAAAUGUGGUUAUCGAUUUCAUGAUAACUUCUGGUUUGUUUACUUUUGGCGAAUUACUAGUCUAAUUCGAUUGAAAUCGAACCAAUGAAAAUUGUUUCUCGAUUUCAUAAUAAAUUUUUGUUUGUUCGUUUUUAGCGAAUAGCUAGUCUAAUUCGAUUGGAAUCGAGCCAUUGAAAUGUGAUUUUUGAGUUCAUGAUAACUUCAGGUUUGUUCAUUUUUUGCGAAAUGCUAGUAUAGUUCUAUUGGAAUCGAGCCAAUGAAAUGUGGCUUUCGAUUUCAUGAUAACAAAUAACUUCGGGUUUGUUCAAUUUUGGCGAAUUUUGUUUGUUUUUGGCGAAUCGCUAGUCUAAUUCGAUUGGAAUCGAGCCAAUCAAAUGUGGUUUUCGAUUAAAUGAUAACUUCGGGUUCGUUCAUUUUUAGCGAAUUGCUAGUCUAAUUCGAUUGGACUAGAGCCAAUGAAACUUGUAUUUCGAUUUCAUGAUAACUUCGGGUAUGUUAUUUUUUGGCGAAUUGCUAGUCUAAUUCAAUUGGAAUCGAGCCAUGAAAUGUAGUUUUCGAUUUCCUGGUAACUUCGGGCUUGUUCGUUUUUGGCGAAUUGCUAGUCUAAUUCGAUUUGAAUCGAGCCAAUGAAACGUGUAUUUCGAUUUCAUGAUAACUUCGGCUCUGUUUAUUUUUGGCAAAUUGCUAGUCUAAUUCGAUUUGAAUCGAGCCAAUGAAACGUGUAUUUCGAUUUCAAGAUAACUUUUGGUCUUCUCAUUUUUGGCGAAUUGCUAGUCUAAUUCGAUUGGAUUCGAGCCAUGAAAUGUGGUUUUAGAUUUCACGAUAACUUCGGGUUUGUUCAAUUUUGGCGAAUUGUUAGUCUAACUCGAUUGGAAUGGAGCCAAUGAAAUGUGGUUUUCGAUUUCACGAUAACUUCGGGCUUGUUCAUUUUUAGCAAAUUGCUGAUCUAAUUCGAUUGGAAUCGAGCCAAUGAAACGUGUUUUUCGAUUACAUGAUAACUUCGGGUCUGUUCAUUUUUGGCAAAUUGCUAGUCUAACUCGAUUGGAAUGGAGCCAUGAAAUGUGGUUAUCGGUUUCAUGAUAACUUCUAGUUUGUUUAUUUUUGGGGAAUUGCUAGUCUGAAUCGAUUGAAAUCGAACCAAUAAAAAUUCUUUCUCGAUUUCAUAUUAACAUUUUAUUUUUUUGUUUUUGGCGCAUAGCGAGUAUAAUUCGAUUGGAAACGAGCCAACGAAAUGUGGUUUUCGAUUUCAUGAUAACUUCGGGUUUGUUCCUUUUUAGCGAAUUGCUUGUCUAAUUCAACUGGAAUCGAGCCAAUGAAACGUGUACUUCGAUUUCAUGAUAACUUUGGGUCUGUUCAUUUUUGGCGAAUUGCUAGUCUAAUUCGAUUGGAAUUGAGCCAUUAAAUGAGGUUUUCGAUUUCUUGAUAACUUUGCGUUUGUUCAUUUUUGACGAAUUGCUAGUGUAAUUCGAUUGGAAUCGUGCCAAUGAAAUGUGGUUUUCGAUUACAUGAUAACUUUGGGUUUAUUCAUUUAUGGAGAAUUGCUAUUCAAAUUCGAUUGGAAUCGAGCCAAUGAAAUGUUGUUUUCGAUUUCAAGAUAACUUCGAGUUUGUUCAUUUUUGGCGAAUUGCUAGUCUAAUUCGACUGGAAUCGAGCCAUGAAAUGUGGUUUUCUAUUUCAUGAUAACUUCGGGUUUGUUCAUUUUUGGCGAAUUGGUAGUCUGAUUCGUCUGCAAUCAAGCCAUGAAAUGUGGUUUUCGAUUUCAGUAUAGCUUCGGGUUUGUUCAUUUUUGGCGAAUUGCUAGUCUGAUUCGACUGUAAUCGAGCCAUGAAAUGUUGUUUUCAUUUUCAAGAUAACUUGGGGUUUGUUCAUUUUUAGCGAAUUGCUAGUCUGAUUUGAUUGGAAUCGAGCCAAAGAAAUGUGGUUUUCGAUUUCAUGAUAACUUCGGGUUUGUUCAUUUUUAGCGAAUUGCUAGCCUAAUUCGAUUGGAAUCGAGCCAAUGAAAUGUGGUUUUCGAUUUCAUGAUAAAUUCGGGUUUGUUCAUUUUUGCCGAAUUGCUAAUCAAAUUUGAUUGGAAUCGAACCAAUGAUUUCAUGAUAACUUCGGGUUCGAUCAUUUUUGGCAAAUAGCUAGUCUAAUUCGAUUGGAAUCGAGCCAUGAAAUGUGGUUUUCGAUUUCAUGAUAACUUUGGGCUUGUUCAUUUUUGGCGAAGUGCUAGUCUAAUUCGACUGGAAUCGAGCCAAUGAAAUGUUGUUUUCGAUUUCAGCAUAACUUCAGGCUUGUUCAUUAUUGGCGAAUUGCUAGUCUAAUUCGAUUGGAUUUGAGCCAAUGAAAUGUGGUUUUCGAUUUCAUGAUAACUUCGGGUUUGUUCAUUUUUGGCGAAUAGCUAGUCUAAUUCGAUCGGAAUCCAGCCAAUGAAAUGUGGUUUUCGAUUUCAUGAUAACUUCGGGUUUGUUCGUUAUUGGCAAAUCGCUAGUCUAAUUGGAUUGGAAUCGAGCAAAUGAAAUGUGGUUUUUGAUUUCAUGAUAACUUCGGGUUUGUUCGUUAUUGGCAAAUCGCUAGUCUAAUUGGAUUGGAAUCAAGCAAAUGAAAUGUGGUUUUUGAUUUCAUGAUAACUUCGGGAUUGUUCAUUUUUGGCGAAAUGCUAGUCUAAGUGGAUUGGAAUCAAGCCAAUGAAAUGUCGUUUUCGAUUUCAAGACAACAAAUAACUUCGGGUUUGCUUAUUUUGGGUGAAUUGCUAGUCUAAUUUGAUUGGAAUCGAGCCCGUGAAAAGUGGCUUUUGAUUUCAUGAUAAGUUCGAAUUUGUUUGUUUUUGGCGAAUUGCUUGUCUAAUUCGAUUGGAAUCGAGCCAAUGAAAUGUGGUUUUCGAUUAAAUGAUAACUUCGGGUUUGUUCAUUUUUAGUGAAUUGCUAGUCUAAUUAGAUUGGAAUCGAGCCAAUGAAACAUGUAUUUUGAUUUCAUGAUAACAUCGGGUCUGUUAUUUUUGGUGAAUUCUAGUCUAAUUCGAUUGGAAUCGAGCCAUGAAAUGUUGUUUUCGAUUUCAUGAUGACUUCGAGUUUAUUCAUUUUUGGCGAACCGCUAGUCUAAUUCGAUUGGAAUCGAGCCAAUGAAAUGUGGUUUUCGAUUUCAUGAUAACUUCGGGUUUGUUCAUUUUUUACGGAUUGUCAGUCUAAUUCAGUUGGAAUCGAGCCAUGAAAUGUGGUUUUCGAUUUCACGAUAACUUCGGGUUUGUUCGUUGUUGGCGAAUUGCUAGUCUAAUUUGAUUGGAAUCGAGCCAAUAAAAUGUGGUUUUUGAUUUCAUGAUAACUUCGUGUUUGUUCAUUUUUGGCGAAUUGCUUGUCUAAUUAGUUGGAGUCGAGCCAAUGAAAUGUGGUUUUCGAUUUCAUGAUAACUUUGGGUUUGUUCGUUUUUGGCGAAUUGCUAGUCUAAUUCAAUUUGAAUCGAGCCAAUGAAACGUCUAUUUCGAUUUCAUGAAAACUUCGGCUCUGUUCGUUUAUGGCAUAUUGCUAGUCUAAUUUGAUUUGAAUCGAGCCAAUGAAACUUGUAUUUCGAUUUCAAGAUAACUUUUGGUCUUCUCAUUUUUGGCGAAUUGCUAGUCUAAUUUGAUUGGAUUCGAGCCAUGAUAUGUGGUUUUCGAUUUCACGAUAACUUCAUGUUUGUUCAAUUUUGGCGAAUUGUUAGUCUAACUCGAUUGGAAUCGAGCCAAUGAAAUGUGGUUUUCGAUUUCAUGAUAUCUUCGGGAUUGUUCGUUUUUAGCAAAUUGCUUCUCUAAUUCGAUUGGAAUUGAGCCAACGAAACGUGUACUUCGAUUUCAUGAUAACUUCGAGUCUGUUCAUUUUUGGCAAAUUGCUAGUCUAAUUCGAUUGGAAUCGAGCCAUGAAAUGAGGUUUUCGAUUUCACGAUAACAUUGGGUUCGUUCAUUUUUGACAAAUUGCUAGUCUAAUUCGGUUGGAAUCUGGCCAAUGAAAUGCGAUUUUCGAUUUCAAGAUAACUUUGGGUUUAUUCAUUUAUGGCGAAUUGCUAGUCUAAUUCGAUCGGAAUCGAGCCAACGAAAUGUGAUUUUUGAUUUCAUGACAACUUCGGGUUAGUUUGUUUUUGACGAAUUGCUAGUCUAAUUCGACCAAAAUCGAGCCAUGAAAUGUGGUUUUCGAUUUCAUGAUAACUUCGGGUUUGUUCAUUUUUGGGGAAUUGCUAGUCUGAUUCGAUUGGAAUCGAGCCAAUAAAAUGUAGUUUUCAAUUUUAUGAUAACUUCGGGUUUGUUCAUUUUUGGCGAAUUGCUAGUCAAAUUCGAUUUGAAUCGAGCCAAUGAAAUGUGGUAUUCGAUUUCAUGAUAACUUCGGGUUUGUUCAUUUUGGGCGAAUUGCUUGUGUAAUUCAGUUGGAAUCGAGCCAAGAAAUGUGGUUAUCGAUUUCAUGAUAACUUAAGGUUUUUUUAUUUUUGGUGAAUUGCUAGUCUAAUUCGAUUGAAAUCGAACCAAUGAAAAUUCUUUCUCGAUUUCAUAAUAACUUUUUGUUUGUUCAUUUUUGGCGAAUAGCUAGUCUAAUUCGAUUGGAAUCGAGCCAAUGAAAUAUGGUUUUCGAUUUCAUGAUAACUUCGGGUUUGUUUCUUUUUAGCGAAUAUCUUGUCUAAUUCGAUUGGAAUCGAGCCAAUGAAACGUGUACAUCGAUUUCAUGAUAACUUCGGGUCUGUUUGUUUUCGGCGAAUUGCUAGUCUAAUUCGAUUGGAAUUGAGCCAUUAAAUGAGGUUUUCGAUUUCAUGAUAACUUCAGGUUUGUUCAUUUUUGGCGAAUUGGUAGUCUGAUUCGUAUAGAAUCGAGCCGUGAAAUGUGGUUUUCGAUUUCCAGAUAACUUCGGGUUUGUUCAUUUUUGGCGAAUUGCUAGUCUGAUUCGACUGGGAUCGAGCCAUGAAAUGUGGUUUUCGAUAUCAGGAUAACUUCGGGUUUGUUCAUUUUUGGUGAAUUGCUAGUCUGAUUCGAUUGGAAUCGAGCCAAUGAAAUGUGGUUAUCGAUUUCAUGAUAACUUCUGGUUUGUUCAUUUUUGGCAACUUCCUAGUCUAAUUCGAUUGGAAUCGAGCCAGUGAAAAGUGGCUUUUGAUUUCAUGAUAACUUCGGGUUUGUUUGUUCUUGGCGAAUUGCUAGUCUAAUUCGAUUGGAAUCGAGCCAAUUAAAUGUGGUUUUCGAUUAAAUGAUAACUUCGGGUUUGUUCAUUUUUAGCGAAUUUCUAGUCUAAUUCGAUUGGAAUCGAGCCGACGAAACGUGUAUUUCGAUUUCAUGAUAACUCCGGGUUUGUUAUUUUUGGCGAAUUGCUAGUCUAAUUCGAUUGGUAUCUAGUCAUGAAAUGUGGUUUUUGAUUUCAUGAAAACAUCGAUUUUAUCAUUUUUUACGAAUUACUGAUCUAAUUCGAUUGGAAAAGACCCAACGAAAUGUGGUUUUCGAUUCCAUUAUAACUUCGUGUUUGUUCAUUUUUGGCGAACUGCUAAUCUAAUUCGAUUGGAAUCGACCAAUGAAAUGUGGUUUUCGAUUUCAUGACAACUUCGCGUUUGCUCAUUUUUGGCGAAUGCUAGUCUAAUUCGAUUGGAAUCGAGCCAACGGAAUUUGGUUUUCGAUUUCAUGAUAACUUCAGGUUUGUUCAUUUUUCGUAAAUUGCUAGGCUUAUUCGAUUGGAAUCGAGUCAAUGAAAUGUGGCUUUCAAUUUCAUGAUAACAAAUAACUUCGGGUUUGUCUAUUUUUGGCGAAUUGCUAGUCCAUUCGAUUGGAAUCGACCCAGUGAAAUGUGGCUUUCGAUUUCAUGAUAACUUUGGGUUUGUUCAUUUUUUGCCAAUUGCUACUCUAAUUCGAUUCGAAUCUAGCCAGUGAAAAGUGGCUUUUGAUUUCAUGAAAACUUUGGGUUUGUUUGUUCUUGGCGAAUUGCUAGUCUAAUUCGAUCGGAAUCGAGCCAAUGAAAUGUUGUUUUCGAUUAAAUGAUAACUUCGGGUUUGUUCAUUUUUAGCGAAUUGCUUGUUUAAUUCGAUUGGAAUCGAGCCAAUGAAACGUGUAUUUCGAUUUCAUGAUAAUUACGGGUCUGUUAUUUUCGGCGAAUUGCUUGUCUAAUUCGAUUGGAAUCGAACCAUGAAAUGUGGGUUUCGAUUUCAUGAUAACUUCGGGUUUUAUCAUUUUUUACGAAUUACUAGUCUAAUUCGAUUGGAAUCGAGCCAACGAAAUGUGGUUUUCGAUUUCAUUAUAACUUCGGGUUUGUUCAUUUUUGGCAAAUUGCUAAUCUAACUCGAUUGGAAUCGAGCUAAUGAAAUGUGAUUUUCAAUUUAAUGAUAACUUUGGGUUUGUUCUUUUUUGUGAAUUGCAAGUCUAAUUCAAUUAAAAUCGAGCCACGAAAUGUGGUUUUCGAUUUCAUGAUAACUUCGAGUUUGUUUGUUUUUGGCAAAUUGUUAGUCUAAUUCGAUUGGAAUCGAGCCAUGAAAUGUGGUCUUCGAUUUCAUGAUAACUUCGAAUUUGUUCGUUUUUGGCGAAUUGCUAGUCUAAUUCGAUUGGAAUCGAGCCAAUGAAAUGUGGUUUUUGAUUUAUUGAUAACUUCGAGUUUGUUCAUUUUUGGCGAAUUGCUAGUCUAAUUCGACUGGAAUCGAGCCAUGAAAUGUGGUUUUCUAUUUCAUUAUAGCUUCGGGUUUGUUCAUUUUUGGCGAAUUGGUAGUCUGAUUCGUCUGUAAUUGAGCCAUGAAAUGUGGUUUUCGAUUUCAGUAUAGCUUCGGGUUUGUUCAUUUUUAGCGAAUUGCUAGUCUGAUUCGACUGGAAUCGAGCCAUGAAAUGUUGUUUUCGUUUUCAAGAUAACUUUGGGUUUGUUCAUUUUUAGCGAAUUGCUAGUCUGAUUCGACUGGAAUCGAGCCAUGAAAUGUUGUUUUCGUUUUCAAGAUAACUUUGGGUUUGUUCAUUUUUGGCGAAUUACUAGUCUGAUUCGAUUGGAAUCGAGCCAAUGAAAUGUGGUUUUCGACUUCAUGAUAACUUCGGGUUUUUUCAUUUUUGGCGAAUUACUAGCCUAAUUCGACUGGAAUCGAGCCAAUGAAAUGUGAUUUUCAAAUUCAUGAUAACUUCAGGUUUUAUCAUUUUUUGCGAAUUGCUAGUCUAGUUCGAUUGGAAUCGAGCCCACGAAAUGUGGUUUUUGAUUUCUUGAUAAAUUCGGGUUUGUUCAUUCUUGGCGAAUUGCUAAUCUAAUUUGAUUGGAAUCAAGCCAAUGAAAUGUGGUUUUCGAUUUCAUGAUAACUUCAGGUUCGAUCAUUUUUGGCGAAUAGCUAGUCUAAUUCGAUUGGAAUCGAGCCAUGAAAUGUGGUUUUCGAUUUCAUGAUAACUUUGGGUUUGUUCAUUUUUGGCAAAGUGCUAGUCUAAUUCGAUUGGAAUCGAGCCAAUGAAACGUUGUUUUCAAUUUCAGGAUAACUUCGGGUUUGUUCGUUAUUGGCGAAUUGCUAGUCUAAUUCGAUUGGAUUUGAGCCAAUGAAAUGUGGUUUUUGAUUUCAUGAUAACUUCGGGUUUGUUCAUUUUUGGCGAAUAGCUAGUUGAAUUCGAUCGGAAUCUAGCCAAUGAAAUGUGGUUUUCGAUUUCAUGAUAACUUCAGGUUUGUUCGUUAUUGGCGAAUUGCUAGUCUAAUUGGAUUGGAAUCGAGCAAAUGAAAUGUGGUUUUCGAUUUCAUGAUAACUUCGGGAUUGUUCAUUUUUGGCGAAAUGCUAGUCUAAUUCAAUUUGAAUCGAGCCAAUGAAACGUGUAUUUCGAUUUCAUGAUAACUUCGGCUCUGUUCAUUUUUGGCGAAUUGCUAGUCUAAUUCGAUUUGAAUCGAGCCAAUGAAACGUGUAUUUCGAUUUCAAGAUAACUUUUGGUCUUCUCAUUUUUGGCGAAUUGCUAGUCUAAUUCGAUUGGAUUCGAGCCAUGAAAUGUGGUUUUCGAUUUCACGAUAAAUUCGGGUUUGUUCAUUUUUGGCGAAUUGUUAGUCUAACUCGAUUGGAAUCGAGCCAAUGAAAUGUGGUUUUCGAUUUCAUGAUAACUUCGUGAUUGUUCGUUUCUAGCGAAUUGAUUCUCUAAUUCGAUUGGAAUCGAGCCAAUGAAACGUGUACUUCGAUUUCAUGAUAACUUCGGGUCUGUUAUUUUUGGCGAAUUGCUAGUCUAAUUCGAUUGGAAUCUAGCCAUGAAAUGUGGUUUUCAAUUUCAUUAAAACAUUGGGUUUUAUCAUUUUUUACGAAUUACUGAUCUAAUUCGAUUGGAAACGACCCAACGCAAUGUGGUUUUCGAUUCCAUUGUAACUUCGUGUUUGCUCAUUUUUGGCGAAUUGCUAAUCUAAUUCGAUUGGAAUCGAUCAAUGAAAUGUGGUUUUCGAUUUCAUGAUAACUUCGGGUUUGUUCAUUUUUCGCAAAUUUCUAGGCUUAUUCGAUUGGAAUCGAGUCAAUGAAAUGUGGUUUUCGAUUUCAUGAUAACAAAUAACUUCGGGUUUGUCGAUUUUUGGCGAAUUGCUAGUCCAUUCGAUGGGAAUCGAGCCAGUGAAAUGUGGCUUUCGAUUUCAUGAUAACUUCGGGUUUGUUCAUUUUUUGUCAAUUGCUACUCUAAUUCGAUUGGAAUCUAGCCAGUGAAAAGUGGCUUUUGAUUUCAUGAAAACUUUGGGUUUGUUUGUUCUUGGCGAAUUGCUAGUCUAAUUCGAUCGGAAUCGAGCCAAUGAAAUGUUGUUUUCGAUUAAAUGAUAACUUCGGGUUUGUUCAUUUUUAGCGGAUUGCUAGUUUAAUUCGAUUGGAAUAGAGCCAAUGAAACGUGUAUUUCGAUUUCAUGAUAACUUCGGGUCUGUUAUUUUUGGCGAAUUGCUAGUCUAAUUCGAUUGGAAUCGAGCCAAUGAAACGUGUAUUUCGAUUUCAUGAUAACUUCGGGUCUGUUAUUUUUGGCGAAUUGCUAGUCUAAUUCGAUUGGAAUCGAGCCAUGAAAUAUGGUUUUCGAUUUCAUGAUAACUUCGGGUUUUAUCAUUUUUUACGAAUUACUAGCCUAAUUCGAUUAGAAUCGAGCCAACGAAAUGUGGUUUUCGAUUUCAUUAUAACUUCGGGUUUGUUCAUUUUUGGCAAAUUGCUAAUCUAAUUCGAUUGGAAUCGAGCCAAUAAAAUGUGAUUUUCAAUUUCAUGAUAACUUUGGGUUUGUUGUUUUUUGCGAAUUGUAAGUCUAAUUCAAUUAAAUUCGAGCCACGAAAUGUGGUUUUCGAUUUCAUGAUAACUUCGAGUUUGUUUGUUUAUGGCCAAUUGUUAGUCUAAUUUUGUUGGAAUCGAGCCAUGAAAUGUGGUCUUCGAUUUCAUGAUAACUUCAGGUUUGUUCAUUUUUGGCGAAUUGCUAGUCUAUUUCGAUUGGAAUCGAGCCAAUGAAAUGUGGUUUUCGAUUUCAUGAUAACCUCGGGUUUGUUCAUUUUUGGCGAAUAGCUAGUCUAAUUCGAUUGGAAUCGAGCCACUGAAAUGUGGUUUUUGAUUUCAUGAUAACUUCGUGUUUGUUCAUUUUUGGCGAAUUGCUAGUCUAAUUAGUUGGAGUCGAGCCAAUGAAAUGUGGUUUUCCAUUUCUUGAUAACUUCGGGUUUGUUCGUUUUCGGCGAAUUGCUAGUCUAAUUCAACUGGAAUCGAGCCAUGAAAUGUGGUUUUCGAUUUCAGGAUAACAUUGGGUUUGUUCAUUUUUGGCGAAUUGCUAGUCCGAUUCAUCUGGAAUCGAGCCAUGAAAUGUGGUUUUCGAUUUCACGAUAACUUAGGGCUUGUUCAUUUUUGGCGAAUUGCUAGUCUGAUUCGACUAGAAUCGAGCCACAAAAUGUGGUUUUCGAUUUCAGGAUAACUUUGGGUUUGUUCAUUUUUGGCGAAUUGCUAUUCUGAUUUGACUGGAAUCAAGCCAUGAAAUGUUGUUUUCAUUUUCAUGAUAACUUCGGGUUUGUUCAUUUCUAGCGAAUUGCUAGUCUGAUUCGAUUGGAAUCGAGCAAACGAAAUGUGGUUUUCGAUUUCAUGAUAACUUCUGGUUUGUUCAUUUUUGGCGAAUUGCUAUUCUAAUUCGAUUGGAAUCGAGCCAAUGAAAUUUGGUUUUCGAUUUCAUGAUAACUUCGGGUUUUAUCAUUUUUGGCGAAUUGCUAGUCAAAUUCGAUUGGAAUCGAGCCAACGAAAUGUGCUUUCGAUUUCAUGAUAAAUUCAAGUUUGUUCAUUUUUGGCAAAUUGCUAAUCUAAUUUGAUUGGAAUCGAACCAAUGAAAUGUGGUUUUCGAUUUCAUGAUAACUUCGGGGUCGGUCAUUUUUGGCGAUUAGCUAGUCUAAUUCGAUUGGAAUCGAACCAUGAAUUGUGGUUUUCGAUUUCAUGAUAACUUCGAGUUUGUUAGUUUUUAGCGAAAUGCUAGUCUUAUUCGAUUGGAAUCGAGCCAUGAAAUGUGGUUUUCGAUUUCAGGAUAACUUCGGGUUUGUUCAUUUUUGGCGAAUUGAUUGUCUGAUUUGACUGGAAUCAAGCCAUGAAAUGUUGCUUUCAUUUUCAUGAUAACUUCGGGUUUGUUCAUUUUUGGCGAAUUGCUAGUCUGAUACGAUUGGAAUCGAGCCAACGAAAUGUGGUUUUCGAUUUCAUGAUAACUUCUGGUUUGUUCAUUUUUGGUAAAUUGCUAGUCUAAUUCGAUUGGAAUCGAGCCAAUGAAAUGUGGUUUUCAAUUUCAUGAUAAAUUCACGUUCGUUCAUUUUUGGCAAAUUGCUAAUCUAAUUUGAUUGGAAUCGAGCCAAUGAAAUGUGGUUUUCGAUUUCAUGAUAACUUCGGGGUCGGUCGUUUUUGGCGAAUAGCUAGUCUCAUUCGAUUGGAAUCGAGCCAUGAAUUGUGGGUUUCGAUUUCUUGAUAACUUCGAGUUUGUUAGUUUUUGGCGAAAUGCUAGUCUAAUUCGAUUGGAAUCGAGCCAAUGAAAUGUGGUUUUCGAUUUCAUGAUAACUUCGGGUUUGUUCGUUAUUGGUGAAUUGCUAGUCUAAUUCGAUUGGAAUCGAGCCAUGAAUUGUGGUUUUCGAUUUCAUGAUAACUUCGAGUUUGUUAGUUUUUGGCGAAAUGCUGGUCUAAUUCGAUUGGAAUCGAGCCAAUGAAAUGUGGUUUUCGAUUUCAUGAUAACUUCGGAUUUGUUCGUUGUUGGCCAAUUGCUAGUCUUAUUUGUUGGAAUCGAGCCAAUGAAAUGUGAUUUUCGAUUUCAUGAUAAAUUCGUGAUUGUUCAUUUUUGGCAAAUUGCUAGUCUGAUUAGUUGGAGUCGAGCCAAUGAAAUGUGGUUUUCGAUUUCAUGAUAACUUCGGGUUUGUUCGUUUUUUGUGAAUUGCUAGUCUAAUUCAAUUUGAAUCGAGCCAAUGAAACGUGUAUUUCGAUUUCAUGAUAACUUCGACUCUGUUCGUUUUUGGCGAACUGCUAGUCUAAUUCAAUUUGAAUCGAGCCAGUGAAACGUGUAUUUCGAUUUCAAGAUAACUUUUGGUCUGCUCAUUUUUGGCGAAUUGCUAAUCUAAUUCGAUUGGAAUCGAGCCAUGAAAUGUGGUUUUCGAUUUCAAGAUAACUUCGGGUUUGUUCAUUUUUGGAGAAAUGCUAGUCUAAUUCUAUUGAAAUCGAGCCAAUGAAAUGUGGUUUUCGAUUUCAUGAAAACAAAUAACUUCGGGUUUGUUCAUUUUUGGCGAAUUGCUAGUCUAAUUCGAUUGGAAUCGAGCUAGUGAAAAGUGGCUUUCGAUUUCAUGAUAACUUCGAGUUUGUUUGUUCUUGGCGAAUUGCUAGUCCAAUUCGAUUGGAAUCGAGCCAAUGAAAUGUGGUUUUCGAUAAAGUGAUAACUUCGGGUUUGUUCAUUUUUGUGAAUUGCUAGUCUAAUUCGAUUGGAAUCGAGCCAAUGAAACGUGUAUUUCGAUUUAAUGAUAACUUCGGGUCUGUUAUUUUUGGCGAAUUGCUAGUCUAAUUCGAUUGGAAUCGAGCCAUGAAAUGUGGUUUUCGCUUUCAUGAUAACAUCGGGUUUUAUCAUUUUUUACGAAUUACUAAUCUAAUUCGAUUGGAAUUGAGGCAACGAAAUGUGGCUUUUGAUUCCAUUAUAACAUCGGGUUUGUUCAUUUUUGACGAAUUGCUAAUCUAAUUCGAUUGGAAUCGACCAAUGAAAUAUGGUUUUCGAUUUCAUGACAACUUUGCAUUUGCUCAUUUUUGGCGAAUUGCUUGUCUAAUUCGAUUGGAAUCGAGCCAACGAAAUUUGGUUUUCGAUUUCAUGAUAACUUCGGGUUUGUUCAUUUUUCGCAAAUUGCUAGGCUUAUUCGAUUGAAAUCGAGUCAAUGAAAUGUGGUUUUCGAUUUCAUGAUAACAAAACACUUCUGGUUUGUUCAUUUUUGGUGAAUUGCUAGUCCAUUCGAUUGGAAUUGAGCCAGUGAAAAGUGGCUUUCGAUUUCAUGAUAACUUCGGGUUUGUCUAUUUUUUGCGGAUUGCUACUCUAAUUCGAUUGGAAUUGAGACAUGAAAUGUGGUUUUCGAUUUCAGGAUAACUUCGCGUUUUAUCAUUUUUUACGAAUUACUAGUCUAAUUCGAUAGGAAUCAAGCCAUGAAAUGUGGUUUUCGAUUUCAUGAUAACUUCGGGUUUGUUCGUUGUUGGCUAAUUGCUAGUCUUAUUUGAUUGGAAUCGAGCUAAUGAAAUGUGGUUUUCGAUUUCUUGAUAAAUUCGUGUUUGUUCAUUUUCGACGAAUUGCUAGUCUGAUUGGUUGGAGUUGAGCCAAUGAAAUGUGGUUUUAGAUUUCAUGAUAACAUCGGGUUUGUUCGUUUUUGGCGAAUUGCUAGUCUAAUUCAAUUUAAAUCGAGCCAAUGAAACGUGUAUUUCGAUUUCAUGAUAACUUCGGCUAUGUUUGUUUUUGGCGAAUUGCUAGUCUAAUUAAAUUUGAAUCGAGCCAAUGAAACGUGUAUUUCGAUUUCAUGAUAACUUUUGGUCUGUUUAUUUUUGGCGAAUUGCUUGUCUAAAUCAAUUGGAAUCGAGCCAUGAAAUGUGGUUUUCGAUUUCACGAUAACUUUGGGUUUGUUCAUUUUUUGCGAAUUGCUAGUCUAAUUCGAUUGGAAUCGAGCCAAUGAAAUGUGGUUUUCGAUUUCAUGACAACUUCGGGUUUGUUCGUCUUUAGCGAAUUGCUUUUCUAAUUCGAUUGGAAUCGAGCCAAUGAAAUGUGUACUUCGAUUUCAUGAUAACUUCGGGUCUGUUCAUUUUUGGCGAAUUGUUAGUCUAAUUCGAUUGGAAUCGAGCCAUGAAAUGAGGUUUUCGAUUUCAUUAUAACUUUGGGUUCGUUCAUUUUUGACGAAUUGCUUGUCUGAUUCGAUUGGAAUCUAGCCAAUGAAAUGUGGUUUUCGAUUUUCAGAGAACUUUGGGUUUAUUCAUUUAUGGCGAAUUGCUAGUCUAAUUCGAUUGGAAUCGAGUCAACAAAAUGUGGUUUUCGAUUUCAUGAUAACUUCGGGUUUGUUCGUUUUUGACGAAUUGCUAGUCUAAUUCGACUGGAAUCAAGCCAUGAAAUGUGGUUUUCGAUUUCAUGAUAACUUCAGGUUUUUUCAUUUUUGGCGAAUUGCUAGUCUAAUUCGAUCGGAAUCGAGCCAAUGAAAUGUUGUUUUUGAUUAAAUGAUAACUUCGGGUUUGUUUAUUUUUAGCGGAUUGCUAGUUUAAUUCAAUUGGGAUCGAGCCAAUGAAACGUGUAUUUCGAUUUCAUGAUAACAUCGGGUCUGUUAUUUUUGGCGAAUUGCUAGUCUAAUUCGAUUGGAAUCAAGCCAUGAAAUGUGGUUUUCGAUUUCAUGAUAACUUGGGGUUUUAUCAUUUUUUACGAAUUACUAGUCUAAUUCGAUUGGAAUCGAGCCAACGAAAUGUGGUUUUCGAUUUCAUUAUAAAUUCGAGUUUGUUCAUUUUUGGCGAAUUGCUAAUCUAAUUCGAUUGGAAUCGAGCCAAUGAAAUGUGAUUUUCAAUUUCAUGAUAACUUUGGGUUUGUUCAUUUUUUGCGAAUUGCAAGUCUAAUUCAAUUAAAAUCGAGCCACGUAAUGUGGUUUUCGAUUCCAUGAUAACUUCGAGUUUUUUUGUUUUUGGCGAAUUGUUAGUCUAAUUCGAUUGGAAUCGAGCCAUGAAAUGUGGUUUUCGAUUUCAUGAUAACCUCAAGUUUGUUCGUUUUUGGCGAAUUGCUAGUCUAAUUCGAUUGGAAUCAAGCCAAUGAAAUGUGGUUUUCGAUUUCAUGAUAACUUCGGGUUUGUUCAUUUUUGGCGAAUAGCUAGUCUAAUUCGACUGGAAUCGAGCCAAUAAAAUGUGGUUUUCGAUUUCAUGAUAACUUCGUGUUUGUUCAUUUUUUGGCGAAUUGCUAGUGUGGUUUUCGAUUUCGUGAUAACUUCGGGUUUGUUCGUUUUCGGUGAAUUGCUAGUUUAAUUCGAUUGGAAUCGAGCCAUGAAAUGCGGUUUUCGAGUUUAGGAUAACUUCGGGUUUGUUCAUUUUUGGCAAAUUGCUAGUCUGAUUCGUCUGGAAUCGAGCCAUGAAAUGUGGUUUUCGAUUUCAGGAUAACUUCGGGUUUGUUCAUUUUUGGCGAAUUGCUAGUCUUAUUCGACUGGAAUCGAGCCAUGAAAUGUGGUUUUCGAUUUCAGGAUAACUUCGGGUUUGUUCAUUUUUGGCGAAUUGCUAGUCUUAUUUGACUGGAAUCAAGCCAUGAAAUCUUGUUUUCAUUUUCACGAUAACUUCGGGUUUGUUCAUUUUUCGCAAAUUGCUAGGCUUAUUCGAUUGAAAUCGAGUCAAUGAAAUGUGGUUUUCGAUUUCAUGAUAACAAAUAAGUUCAGAUUUGUUCAUUUUUGGUGAAUUACUAGUCCAUUCGAUUGGAAUUGAGCCAAUGAAAAGUGGCUUUCGAUUUCAUGAUAACUUCGGGUUUGUUCAUUUUUUGCGGAUUGCUUCUCUAAUUCGAUUGGAAUUAAGCCAUGAAAUGUGGUUUUCGAUUUCAGGAUAACUUCGCGUUUUAUCAUUUUUUACGAAUUACUAGUCUAAUUCGAUAGGAAUCAAGCCAUGAAAUGUGGUUUUCUAUUUCUUGAUAACUUUGGGUUUGUUCGUUGUUGGCCAAUUGCUAGUCUUAUUUGAUUGGAAUCGAGCCAAUGAAAUGUGGUUUUCGAUUUCAUGAUAAAUUCGUGUUUGUUCAUUUUCGACGAAUCGCUAGUCUGAUUAGCUGGAGUCGAGCCAAUGAAAUGUGGUUUUCGAUUUCAUGGUAAAUUCGUGAUUGUUCAUUUUUGGCAAAUUGCUAGUCUGAUUAGUUGGAGUCGAGGCAAUGAAAUGUGGUUUUCGAUUUCAUGAUAACUUCGGGUUUGUUCGUUUUUUGCGAAUUGCUAGUCUAAUUCAAUUUGAAUCGAGCCAAUGAAACGUGUAUUUCGAUUUCAAGAUAACUUUUGGUCUGCUCAUUUUUGGCGAAUUGCUAGUCUAAUUCGAUUGGAAUCGAGCCAUGAAAUGUGGUUUUCGAUUUCAAGAUAACUUCGGGUUUGUUCAUUUUUGGAGAAAUGCUAGUCUAAUUCGAUUGAAAUCGAGCCAAUGAAAUGUGGUUUUCGAUUUCAUGAUAACAAAUAACUUCGGGUUUGUUCAUUUUUGGCGAAUUGCUAGUCUAAUUCGAUUGGAAUCGAGCCAGUGAAAAGUGGCUUUUGAUUUUAUGAUAACUUCGGGUUUGUUUGUUCUUGGCGAAUUGCUAGUCUAAUUCGAUUGGAAUCGAGCCAGUGAAAAGUGGCUUUUGAUUUUAUGAUAACUUCGGGUUUGUUUGUUCUUGGCGAAUUGCUAGUCUAAUUCGAUUGGAAUCGAGCCAUGAAAUGUGGUUUUCGAUUUCAAGAUAACUUCGGGUUUGUUCAUUUUUGGAGAAAUGCUAGUCUAAUUCGAUUGAAAUCGAGCCAAUGAAAUGUGGUUUUCGAUUUCAUGAUAACAAAUAACUUCGGGUUUGUUCAUUUUUGGCGAAUUGCUAGUCUAAUUCGAUUGGAAUCGAGCCAGUGAAAAGUGGCUUUUGAUUUUAUGAUAACUUCGGGUUUGUUUGUUCUUGGCGAAUUGCUAGUCUAAUUCGAUUGGAAUCGAGCAACGAAAUGUGGUUUUCGAUAAAGUGAUAACUUCGGGUUUGCUCAUUUUUUGUGAAUUGCUAGUCUAAUUCGAUUGGAAUCGAGCCAAUGAAACGUGUAUUUCGAUUUAAUGAUAACUUCGGGUCUGUUAUUUUUGGCUAAUUGCUAGUCUAAUCCGAUUGGAAUCGAGGCAUGAAAUGUGGUUUUCGCUUUCAUGAUAACAUCGGGUUUUAUCAUUUUUUAUGAAUUACUAAUCUAAUUCGAUUGGAAUCGAGGGAACGAAAUGUGGUUUUCGAUUCCAUUAUAACAUCGAGCUUGUUCAUUUUUUGGUGAAUUGCUAAUCUAAUUCGAUUGGAAUCAGCCGAUGAAAUGUGGUUUUCGAUUUCAUGACGACUUCGCGUUUGUUCGUUUUUGGCGAAUUUCUAGUCUAAUUCGAUUGCAAUCGAGCCAACGAAAUUUGGUUUUCGAUUUCAUGAUAACUUCGGGUUUGUUCAUUUUUUGUAAAAUGCUAGGCUUAUUCGAUUGAAAUCGAGUCAAUGAAAUGUGGUUUUCGAUUUCAUGAUAACAAAUAAAUUCUGGUUUGUUCAUUUUUGGUGAAUUGCUAGUCCAUUCGAUUGGAAUCGAGCCAGUGAAAAGUGGCUUUCAAUUUCAUGAUAACUUCGGGUUUGUUCAUUUUUUGCGGAUUGUUACUUUAAUUCGAUUGGAAUUGAGCCAUGAAAUGUGGUUUUCGAUUUCAGGAUAACUUCACGUUUUAUCGUUUUUUACGAAUUACUAGUCUAAUUCAAUAGGAAUCAAGCCAUGAAAUGUGGUUUUCGAUUUCAUGAUAACUUCGGGUUUGUUCGUUGUUGGCCAAUUGCUAGUCUUAUUUGAUUGGAAUCGAGCCAAUGAAAUGUGGUUUUCGAUUUCAUGAUAAAUUCGUGUUUGUUCAUUUUCGGCAAAUUGCUAGUCUGAUUAGUUGGAUUCGAGCCAAUGAAAUGUGGUUUUAGAUUUCAUGAUAACAUCGGGUUUGUUCAUUUUUUGCAAAUUGCUAGUCUAAUUCAAUUUGAAUCGAGCGAAUGAAACGUGUAUUUCGAUUUCAUGAUAACUUCGGCUCUGUUCGUUUUUGGCGAAUUGCUAGCCUAAUUCAAUUUGAAUCGAGCCAACGAAACGUGUAUUUCGAUUUCAAGAUAACUUUUGGUCUGCUCAUUUUUGGCGAAUUGCUUGUCUAAAUCGAUUGGAAUCGAGCCAUGAAUUGUGGUUUUCGAUUUCACCAUAACUUCGGGUUUGUUCAUUUUUGGCGAAUUGCUAGUCUAAUUCGAUUGGAAUCGAGUCAAUGAAAUGUGGUUUUUGAUUUCAUGACAACUUCGGGUUUGUUCGUCUUUAGCGAAGUACUUCUCUAAUUCGAUUGGAAUCGAGCCAAUGAAACGUGUACUUCAAUUUCAUAAUAACUUCGGGUCUGUUCAUUUUUGGCAAAUCGCCAGUCUAAUUCAAUUGGAAUCGAGCCAUGAAAUGAGGUUUUCGAUUUCAUUAUAACUUUGGGUUCGUUCAUUUUUGACUAAUUGCUUGUCAAUUCGAUUGGAAUCUAGCCAAUGAAAUGUAGUUUUCGAUUUUCAGAGAACUUUGGGUUUGUUCAUUUAUGGCAAAUUGCUAGUCUAAUUCGAUUGGAAUCGAGUCAACGAAAUGUGGUUUUCGAUUUCAUGAUAACUUCGGGUUUGUUCGUUUUUGACGAAUUGCUAGUCUAAUUCGACGGGAAUCAAGCCAUGAAAUGUGGUUUUCGAUUUCAUGAUAACUUCGGUUUUUUUCAUUUUUUGCGAAUUGCAAGUCUGAGUCGACUGGAAUCGAGCCAAUGAAAUAUGAUUUUUCGAUUUCAUGAUAAAUUCGGGUUUGUUCAUUUUUGGCGAAUUGCUAUUCUAAUUAGAUUGGAAUCGAGCCAAUGAAAUGUGGUUUUCGAUUUCAUGAUAACUUCGGGUUUGUUCAUUUUUUCCGAAUAGCUAGUCUAAUUCGAUUGGAAUCGAGCCAAUGAAAUGUGGUUUUCGAUUUCAUGAUAACUUCGGGUUUGUUCAUUUUUAGCGAAUAACUAGUCUAAUUCGAUUGGAAUCGAGCUAAUGAAAUGUGGUUUUCGAUUUCAUGAUAACUUCGUGUUUGUUCAUUUUUGGUGUGUUGCUAGUCUAAUUAGUUGGAGUCGAGCCAAUGAAAUGUUGUUUUCGAUUUCAUGAUAACUUCGGUUUUGUUCGUUUUCGGCGAAUUGCUAGUCUAAUUCGAUUGGAAUCGAGCCAAUGAAAUGUGGUUUUUCAUUUCAUGAUAACUUCGAGUUUGUUCAUUUUUUGUGCGUUGCUAGUCUAAUUAGUUGGAGUCGAGCUAAUGAAAUGUGGUUUUCGAUUUCAUGAUAACUUCGGGUUUGUUCAUUUUUGGCGAAUAGCUAGUCCAAUUCAACUGGAAUCGAGCCAUGAAAUGCGGUUUUCGAUUUCAUGAUAACUUCAGGUUUGUUCAUUUUUGGCGAAUCGGUAGUUUGAUUCGUCUAGAAUCAAGCCAUGAAAUGUGGUUUUCGAUUUCAGGAUAACUUCAGGUUUGUUCAUUUUUGGCGAAUCGCUAGUCUGAUUCGAUUGGAAUCGAGCCAUGAAAUGUCGUCUUCGAUUUCAUGAUAACUUCGGGUUUGUUCAUUUUUUGUGAAUAGCUAGUCUAAUUCGACUGGAAUCGAGCCAAUGAAAUGUGGUUUUUGAUUUCAUUAUAACUUCGGGUUUGUUUAUUUUUGGCGAAUUGCUACUCUAAUUCGAUUAGAAUCGAACCAAUGAAAUGUACUGUUCAAUUUCAUGAUCACUUUGGGUUUGUUCUUUUUUGCGAAUUGCAAGUCUAAUUCGAUUAAAAUCAAGCCAUGAAACGUGGUUUUCGAUUUCAUGAUAACUUCGGGUUUGUUCGUUUUUGGCGAAUUGCUAGUCUAAUUCAAUUGGAAUCGAGCCAUGAAAUGUGGUCUUUGAUUUCAUGAUAACUUCCGGUUUGUUUAUUUUUCGCAAAUUGCUAGUCUAAUUCGAUUGGAAUCGAGCCAAUGAAAUAUGAUUUUUCGAUUUCAUGAUAAAUUCGGGUUUGUUCGUUUUUGGCGAAUUGCUAGUCUAAUUCGAUUGGAAUCGAGCCAAUGAAAUGUGGUUUUAGAUUUCAUGAUAACUUCGGGUUUGUUCAUUUUUUCCGAAUAGCUAGUCUAAUUCGAUUGGAAUCGAGCCAAUGAAAUGUGGUUUUCGAUUUCAUGAUAACUUCGGGUUUGUUCAUUUUUAGCGAAUAACUAAUCUAAUUCGAUUGGAAUCGAGCUAAUGAAAUGUGGUUUUCGAUUUCAUGAUAACUUCGUGUUUGUUCAUUUUUGGUGUGUUGCUAGUCUAAUUAGUUGGAGUCGAGCCAAUGAAAUGUGGUUUUCGAUUUCAUGAUAACUUUGGGUUUGUUCGUUUUCGACGAAUUGCUAGUCUAAUUCGAUUGGAAUCGAGCCAAUGAAAUGUGAUUUUCGAUUUCAUGAUAACUUCGGGUUUGUUCAUUUUUUGUGUGUUGCUAGUCUAAUUAGUUGGAGUCGAGCUAAUGAAAUGUGGUUUUCGAUUUCAUGAUAACUUCGGGUUUGUUCAUUUUUGGCGAAUAGCUAGUCCAAUUCAACUGGAAUCGAGCCAUGAAAUGUGGUUUUCGAUUUCAUGAUAACUUCAGGUUUGUUCAUUUUUGGCGAAUCGGUAGUUUGAUUCGUCUAGAAUCGAGCCAUGAAAUGUGGUUUUCGAUUUCAGGAUAACUUCAGGUUUGUUCAUUUUUGGCGAAUCGCUAGUCUGAUUCGAUUGGAAUCGAGCCAUGAAAUGUCGUCUUCGAUUUCAUGAUAACUUCGGAUUUGUUCAUUUUUUGUGAAUAGCUAGUCUAAUUCGACUGGAAUCGAGCCAAUGAAAUGUGGUUUUUGAUUUCAUUAUAACUUCGGGUUUGUCUAUUUUUGGCGAAUUGCUAAUCUAAUUCGAUUGGAAUCGAACCAAUGAAAUGUAGUUUUCAAUUUCAUGAUAACUUUGGGUUUAUUCUUUUUUGCGAAUUGCAAGUCUAAUUCAAUUAAAAUCGAGCCAUGAAACGUGGUUUUUGAUUUCAUGAUAACUUCGGGUUUGUUCAUUUUUGGCGAAUUGCUAGUCUAAUUCGAUUGGAAUCGAGUCAUGAAAUGUGGUCUUUGAUUUCAUGAUAACUUCGGGUUUGUUUAUUUUUGGCAAAUUGCUAGUCUAAUUCGAUUGGAAUCGAGCCAAUGAAAUAUGGUUUUUCGAUUUCAUGAUAACUUCGGGUUUGUUCAUUUUUGACGAAUUGCUAGUCUAAUUCGAUUGGAUCGAGCCAAUGAAAUGUGGUUUUCGAUUUCAUGAUAACUUCGGGUUUGUUCAUUUUUUCCGAAUAGCUAGUCUAAUUCGAUUGGAAUCGAGCCAAUGAAAUGUGGUUUUCGAUUUCAUGAUAACAAAUAACGUCGGGUUUGUUCGUUAUUGGCGAAUUGCUAGUCCAUUCGAUUGGAAUCGAGCCAUUGAAAAGUGGCUUUCGAUUUCAUGAUAACUUCGGGUUUGUUCAUUUUUUGCGAAUUGCUACUCUAAUUCGAUUGGAAUCGAUCCCGGGAAAAGUGGCUUUUGAUUUCAUGAAAACAUCGAGUUCGUUUGUUCUUGGCGAAUUGCUAGUCUAAUUCGAUUGGAAUCGAGCCAAUAAAAUGUUGUUUUCGAUUAAAUGAUAACUUCAGAUUCGUUCAUUUUUAGCGAAUUGCUAGUUUAAUUCGAUUGGAAUCGAGCUAAUGAAACGUGUAUUUCGAUUUCAUGAUAAUUUUGGGUCUGUUAUUUUUGGAAAAUUGCUAGCCAAAUUCUAUUGGAAUCGAGCCAUGAAAUGUGGUUUUCAAUUUCAUGAAAACUUCGGGUUUUAUCAAUUUCUGCGAAUUACUAGUCUAAAUCGAUUGGAAUCGAGCCAAUGAAAUGUCGUUUUCAAUUUCAUUAUAACUUCGGGUUUGUUCAUUUUUGGCGAAUUGCUAAUCUAAUUCGAUUGGAAUCAAGCCAAUGAAAUGUAGUUUUCAAUUUCAUGAGAACCUUGGGUUUGUUUGUUUUUUGCGAAUUGCAAGUCUAAUUCAAUUAAAAUCGAGCCAAGAAAUGUGGUUUUUGAUUUCAUGAUAACUUCGGGUUUGUUUGUUUUUGGCGAAUUGUUAGUCUAAUUCGAUUGGAUUCGAGCCAUGAAAUGUGGUCUUCGAUUUCAUGAUAACUUCGGGUUUGUUCGUUUUUGGCAUACUGCUAGUCUAAUUCGAUUGGAAUCGAGCCAAUGAAAUGUGGUUUUCGAUUUCAUGAUAACUUCGGGUUUGUUCAUUUUCGGCGAAUAGCUAGUCUAAUUCGAUUGGAAUCGAGCCAAUGAAAUAUGGUUUUCGAUUUCAUGAUAACUUCGUGUUUGUUCAUUUUUGGCGAAUUGCUAGUUUAAUUAGUUGGAGUCGAGCCAAUGAAAUGUGGUUUUCGAUUUCAUUAUAACUUCGGGUUUGUUCGUUUUUAGCGAAUUGCCAAUCUAAUUCAACUGGAAUCAAGCCAUGAAAUGUGGUUUUCGAUUUCAUGAUAACUUCAGGUUUGUUCAUUUUUGGCAAAUCGGUAGUUUGAGUCGUCUAGAAUCGAGCCAUGAAAUGUGGUUUUCGAUUUUAGGAUAACUUCAGGUUUGUUCAUUCUUGGCGAAUCGCUGGUCUAAUUCGAUUGGAAUCGAGCCAUGAAAUGUGGUCUUCGAUUUCAUGAUAACUUCGGGUUUGUUCAUUUUUGACGAAUUGCUAGCCUAAUUCGAUCGGAAUCGACCAAUGAAAUGCGGUUUUCGAUUUCAUGAUAACUUCGUGUUUGUUCAUUUUUAGCGAAUUGCUAGUCUAAUUAGUUGGAGUCGAGCCAAUGAAAUGUGGUUUUCGAUUUCAUGAUAACUUCGGGUUUGUUCAUUUUUGGCGAAUUGCUAGUCUAAUUCAACCGGAAUCGAGCAAUGUAAUGUGGUUUUCGAUUUCAUGAUAACUUCAGGUUUGUUCAUUUUUGGUGAAUCGGUAGUCUGAUUCGUUUAGAAUCGAGCCAUGAAAUGUGGUUUUCGAUUUCAGGAUAACUUCGGGUUUGUUCAUUUUUGGCGAAUCGCUAGUCUGAUUCGAUUGGAAUCGAGCCAUGAAAUGUGGUCUUCGAUUUCAUGAUAACUUCGGUUUGUUCGUUUUGGGCGAAUUGCUAGUCUAAUUCGAUUGGAAUCGAGCCAAUGAAAUGUGGUUUUCGAUUUCAUGAUAACUUUGGGUUUGUUCAUUUUUGGCGAAUAGCUAGUCUAAUUCGAUUGGAAUCGAGCCAAUGAAAUGUGGUUUUCGAUUAUAUGAUAACUUCGGGUUUGUUCAUUUUUAGCGAAUUGCUAGUUUAAUUCGAUUCGAAUCGAGCCAAUGAAACGUGUAUUUCGAUUUCAUGAUAACUUCGGGUUUGUUCGUUUUUGGCAAGUUGCUAAUCUAAUUCGAUUGGAAUCGAGCCAAUGAAAUGUAGUUUUCAAUUUCAUGAUAACUUUGGGUUUGUUCCUUUUUUGCGAAUUGCAAGUCUAAUUCAAUUAAAAUCGAGCCAAUGAAAUGUGGUUUUCGAUAAAAUGAUAACUUCGGGUUUGUUCGUGUUUGGCGAAUUGCUAGUUUGAUUCGAUUGGAAUCGAGCUAAAAAAAUGUAGUUUUCGAUUUCAUGUUGACUUCGGGUUUGUUCAUUUUUUGUGAAUUGCUAGUCUAAUUCAGUUGGAAUCGAGCCAAUGAAACGUGUAUUUCGAUUUCAUGAUAACUUCGGGUCUGUUAUUUUUGGCGAAUUGCUAGUCUAAUUUGAUUGUAAUCGAGCCAUGAAAUGUGGUUUUCAAUUUCAUGAUAACAUCGGGUUUUAUCAUUUUUUACGAAUUACUAAUCUAAUUCAAUUGGAAUCGUGGCAACGAAAUGUGGUUAUCGAUUCCAUUAUAACAUCGGGUUUGUUCAUUUUUGAUGAAUUGCUAGUCUAAUUCGAUUGGAAUCGACCAAUGAAAUGUGGUCUUGGAUUUCAUGAUAACUUCGCGUUUGUUCGUUUUUGGCGAAUUGCUAGUCUAAUUUGAUUGGAAUCGAGCCAACGGAAUUUGGUUCUCGAUUUCAUGAUAACUUUGGGUUUGUUCAUUUUUCGCGAAUUGCUAGGCUUAUUCGAUUGGAAUCGAGUCAAUGAAAUGUGGUUUUCGAUUUCAUGAUAACAAAUAACUUCGGGUUUGUUCGUUAUUGGCGAAUUGCUAGAACAUUCGAUUGGAAUCGAGCCAGUGAAAAGUGGCUUUCGAUUUCAUGAUAACUUCGGGUUUGUUCAUUUUUUUCGAAUUGCUACUCUAAUUCGAUUGGAAUCGAGCCUGUGAAAAGUGGCUUUCGAUUUCGUGAAAACUUCGGGUUUGUUUGUUCUUGGCGAAUUGCUAGUCUAAUUCGAUUGGAAUCGAGCCAAUGAAAUGUUGUUUUCGAUUAAAUGAUAACUUCGGGUUCAUUCAUUUUUAGCGAAUUGCUAGUUUAAUUCGAUUGGAAUCGAGACAAUGAAACGUGUAUUUCGAUUUCAUGAUAACUUCAUGUCUGUUAUUUUUGGCGAAUUGCUAGUCUAAUUCGAUUGGAAUCGAGCAGCGAAAUGUGGUUUUCGAUUUCAUGAUAACUUCGGGUUUUAUCAUUUUCUACGAAUUACUAGUCUAAUUCGAUUGGAAUUGAGCCAACGAAAUGUGGUUUUUGAUUUCAUUAUAACUUCGGGUUUGUUCAUUUUUGGCGAAUUGCUAAUCUAAUUCGAUUGGAAUCGAGCCAAUGAAAUGUAGUUUUCAAUUUCAUGAUAACGUUGGGUUAGUUCAUUUUUUGCGAAUUGCAAGUCUAAUUCAAUUAAAAUCGAGCCAAGAAAUGUGGUCUUCGAUUUCAUGAUAACUUCGGGUUUAUUUGUUUUUUGCGAAUUGUUAGUCUAAUUCGAUUGGAAUCGAGCCAUGAAAUGUAGCCUUCGAUUUCAGGAUAACUUCGGGUUUGUUCGUUUUUGACGAAUUGCUAGUCUAAUUCGAUUGAAAUCUAGCUAAUGAAAUGUGGUUUUCGAUUUCCAGAGAACUUUGGGUUUAUUCAUUUAUGGCGAAUCGCUAGUCUAAUUCGAUUGGAAUCGAGCCAACGAAAUGUGGUUUUCGAUUUCAUGAUAACUUCGUGUUUGUUCGUUUUUGACGAAUUGCUAGUCUCAUUCGACCGGAAUCGAGCCAUGAAAUGUGGUUUUCGAUUUCAUGAUAACUUCAGGUUUUUUCAUUUUUGGCUAGUCUGAGUCGACUAGAAUCGAGCCGUGAAAUGUGGUUUUCGAUUUCAUGACAACUUCGGGUUUGCUCAUUUUUUACGAAUUGCUAGUCUGAUUCGAUUGGAAUCGAGCCAAUGAAAUGUGGUUUUCAAUUUCAUGAGAACUUCGGGAUUGUUUGUUUUUGGCGAAAUGCUAGUCUAAUUCGAUUGGAAUCGAGCCAAUGAAAUGUGGUUUUCUAUUUCAUGAUAACUUCGGGUUUGUUCUUUUUUGGCGAAAUUCUAGUCUAAUUCAAUUGGAAUCAAGCCAAUGAAAUGUGGUUUUCGCUUUCAUGAUAACUUUAAGUUUGUUCAUUUUUGACGAAUUACUAGUCUAAUUCGAUUGGAACGAGCCAAUGAAAUGUGGUUUUCGAUUUCAUGAUAACUUCGGGUUUGUUCAUUUUUUUGCGAAUGGCUAGUCUAAUUCGAUUGGAUUCGUGCUGAUGAAAUGUGGUUUUCGAUUUCAUGAUAACUUCGGCUUUGUUCGUUUUUGGCGAAUUGCUAGUCUAAUUCGCUUGGAAUCUAGCCAAUGAAAUGUGGUUUUCGAUUUCAUGAUAACUUCGGGUUUGUUCGUUUUUGGAGAAAUGCUAGUCUAAUUUGAUUGUAAUCGAGCCAAUGAAACGUGGUUUUCGAUUUCAUGAUAACAAAUAACUUCGGGUUUGUUCAUUUUUGGCGAAUUGCUAGUCUAAUUCGGUUGGAAUUGAGCCAGUAAAAAGUGGCAUUUGAUUUCACGAUAACAUCGGGUUUGUUUGUUCUUGGCAAAUUGCUAGUCUAAUUCGAUUGGAAUCGAGCCAAUGAAAUGUGGUUUUCGAUUAAAUGAUAACUUUUGGUUUGUUCAUUUUUGGCGAAUCGCUAGUCUGAUUCGAUUGGAAUCGAGCCAUGAAAUGUGAUCUUCGAUUUCAUGAUAACAUCGGGUUUGUUCAUUUUUGGCGAAUUGCUAGUCUAUUUCGAUUAGAAUCGAGCCAAUGAAAUGUGGUUUUCGAUUUCAUGAUAACUUCGGGUUUAUUCAUUUUCGGCGAAUUGCUAGUCUAAUUCGAUUGGAAUCAAGGCUACGAAAUGUGGUUUUCGAUUCCAUUAUAACUUCGGGUUUGUUCAUUUUUGGCAAUUGCUAAUCAAAUUCGAUUGGAAUCGAGCGAAUGAAAUGUAGUUUUCAAUUUCAUGAUAACACUGGGUUAGUUCGUUUUUUACGAAUUGCAAGUCUAAUUCAAUUAAAAUCGAGCCAAGAAAUGUGGUCUUCGAUUUCAUGAUAACUUUGGGUUUGUUUGUUUUUGGCGAAUAGUUAGUCUAAUUCGAUUGGAAUCGAGCCAUGAAAUGUAGUCUUCGAUUUCAUUAUAAAUUUGGAUUUGUUUGUUUUUGGCGAAUUGUUAGUCUAAUUCGAUUGGAAUCGAGCCAUGAAAUGUGGUCUUCGAUUUCAGGAUAACUUCGGGUUUGUUCAUUUUUGGCGAAUUGCUAGUCUAAUUCGAUUGGAAUCGAGCCAAUGAAAAGUGGUUUUCGAUUUCAAGAUAACUUCGGGUUUGUUCAUUUUUGGCGAAUAGCUAGUCUAAUUCGAUUGGAAUCGAGCCAAUGAAAUAUGGUUUUCGAUUUCAUGAUAACUUCGUGUUUGUUCAUUUUUAGCGAAUUGCUAGUCUAAUUAGUUGGAGUCGAGCCAAUGAAAUGUGGUUUUUGAUUUCAUGAUAACGUCGGGUUUGUUCGUUUUCAGCGAAUUGCCUGUCUAAAUCAAUUGGAAUCGAGCCAUGAAAUGUGGUUUUCGAUUUCAUGAUAACUUCAGGUUUGUUCAUUGUUGGCGAAUCGGUAGUCUGAUUCGUCUCGAAUCGAGCCAUGAAAUGUGGUUUUCGAUUUCAUGAUAACUUCGGGUUUGUUCAUUUUUGGCGAAUCGGUAGUCUGAUUCGUCUAGAAUCGAGCCAUGAAAUGUGGUUUUCGAUUUCUGGAUAACUUCGGGUUUGUUCAUUUUUGGUGAAUCGCUAGUCUAAUUCGAUUGGAAUCGAGCCAUGAAAUGUGGUCUUCGAUUUCAUGAUAACAUCGGGUGUGUUCGUUUUUGGCGAGUCGCUAGUCUCAUUCGAUUAGAAUCGAGCCAAUGAAAUGUGGUUUUCGAUUUCAUGAUAACUUCGUGUUUGUUCAUUUUUGGCGAAUUGCUAGUCUUAAUAGUUGGAGUCGAGCCAAUGAAAUGUGGUUUUCGAUUUCAUGAUAACUUCGGGUUUAUUCGUUUUCAGCGAAUUGCAAGUCUAAUUCGAUUGGAAUCGAGGCAACAAAAUUUGGUUUUCGAUUCCAUUUUACCUUCGGGUUUGUUCCUUUUUGACGAAUUGCUAGUCUAAUUCGAUUGCAAUUGACCAAUGAAAUGUGGUUUUGGAUUUCAUGAUAACUUCGCGUUUAUUCAUUUUUCGCAAAUUGCUGUGCUUACUCGAUUGGAAUCGAGUCAAUGAAAUGUGGUUUUCGAUUUCAUGAUAACAAAUAACUUCGGGUUUGUGCGUUAUUGGCGAAUUGCUAGUCCAUUCGAUUGGAAUCGAGCCAGUGAAAAGUGGCUUUCGAUUUCAUGAUAAAUUUGGGUUUGUUCAUUUUUUGCGAAUUGCUUCUCCAAUUCGAUUGGAAUCGAGCCUGUGAAAAGUGGCUUUUGAUUUCAUGAAAACUUCGGAUUUGUUUGUUCUUGGCGAAUUGCUAGUCUAAUUCGAUUGGAAUCGAGCCAAUGAAAUGUUGUUUUCGAUUAAAUGAUAACUUCGGGUUCGUUCAUUUUUAGCGAAUUGCUAGUUUAAUUCGAUUGGAAUCGAGCCAAUGAAACGUGUAUUUCGAUUUCAUGAUAACUUUGUGUCUGUUCUUUUUGGCUAAUUGCUAGUCUAAUUCGUUUGGAAUCGAGCCAUGAAAUGUGGUUUUCGAUUUCAUGAUAACUUCGGGUUUUAUCAUUUUCUACGAAAUUACUAGUCUAAUUCGAUUGGAAUCGAGCCAACGAAAUGUGGUUUUCGGUUUCAUUAUAACUUCGGGUUUGUUCAUUUUUGGCGAAUUGCUAAUCUAAUUCGAUUGGAAUCGAGCCAAUGAAACGUAGUUUUCAAUUUCAUGAUAACGUUGGGUUUGUUCGUUUUUUGCGAAUUGCAAGUCUAAUUCAAUUAAAAUCGAGCCAAGAAAUGUGGUCUUCGAUUUCAUAAUAACUUCGGGUUUGUAUGUUUUUGGCGAAUAGUUAGUCUAAUUCGAUUAGAAUCGAGCCAUGAAAUGUGGUCUUCGAUUUCAUGAUAACUUCGGGUCUGUUCAUUUUUGGCAAAUUGCUAGUCUAAUUCGAUUGGAAUCGAGCCAAUGAAAUGUGGUCUUCGAUUUCAUGAUAACUUCGGGUUUGUUCAUUUUUGGUGAAUAGCUAGUCUAAUUCGAUUGGAAUUGAGCCAAUGAAAUAUUGUUUUCGAUUUCAUGAUAACUUCGGGUUUGUUCAUUUUUAGCGAAUUUCUAGUCUAAUUAGUUGGAGUCGAGCCCAUGAAAUGUGGUUUUCGAUUUCAUGAUAACUUCGGGUUUGUUCGUUUUUAGCGAAUUGCCUGUCUAAUUCAAAUGGAAUGGAGCCAUGAAAUGUGGUUUUCAAUUUCAUGAUAACUUCCGGUUUGUUCAUUUUUGGCGAAUCGGUAGUCUAAUUCGUCAAGAAUUGAGCCAUGAAAUGUGGUUUACGAUUUCAGGAUAACUUUGGGUUUGUUCAUUUUUGGCGAAUCGCUAGUCUGAUUCGAUUGGAAUCGAGCCAUGAAAUGUGGUCUUCGAUUUCAUGAUAACUUCGGGUUUGUUCGUUUUUGGCUAAUUGCUAAUCUAAUUCGAUUGGAAUCGAGCCAAUGAAAUGUGGUUUUCGAUUUCAUGAUAACUUCGGGUUUGUUCAUUUUUGGCGAAUAGCUAGUCUAAGUCGAUUGGAAUCGAGUCAAUGAAAUGUGGUUUUCGAUUUCAUGAUAACUUCGUGUUUGUUUAUUUUUGGCGAAUUGCUAGUCUAAAUAGUUGGAGUCGAGCCAACGAAAUGUGGUUUUCGAUUUCAUGAUAACUUCGGGUUUAUUCAUUUUCGACGAAUUGCUAUCUAAUACGAUUGUAAUCGAGGCAACGAAAUGUGGUUUUCGAUUCCAUUAUAACUUCAGGUUUGUUCAUUUUUGACGAAUUGUUAUCUAAUUCGAUUGGAAUCGACCAAUGAAAUGUGGUUUUGGAUUUCAUGAGAACUUCGCUUUUGUUCAUUUUUGGCGAAUUGCUAGUCUAAUUCGAUUGGAAUCGAGCCAACGGAAUUUGGUUUUCGAUUUCAUGAGAACUUCGGGUCUGUUCAUUUUUCGCAAAUUGCUAGGCUUAUUCGAUUGGAAUCGAGUCAAUGAAAUGUGGUUUUCGAUUUCAUGAUAACAAAUAACUUCGGGUUUGUUCGUUAUUGGCGAAUUGCUAGCCCAUUCGAUUGGAAUUGAGCCAAUGAAAAGUGGCUUUCGAUUUCAUGAUAACUUCAGGUUUGUUCAUUUUUUGCGAAUUGCUACUCUAAUUCGAUUGGAAUCGAGCCUGUGAAAAGUGGCUUUUGAUUUAAUGAAAACUUCGGGUUUGUUUGUUCUUGGCAAAUUGCUAGUCUAAUUCGAUUGGAAUCGAGCCAAUGAAAUGUUGUUUUCGAUUAAAUGAUAACUUCGGGUUCGUUCAUUUUUAGCGAAUUGCAAGUUUAAUUCUAUUGGAAUCGAGCCAAUGAAACGUGUAUUUCGAUUUCAUGAUAACUUCGGGUCUGUUAUUUUUAGCGAAUUGCUAGUCUAAUUCGAUUGGAAUCGAGCCAAUGAAAUGUGGUUUUCGAUUAAAUGAUAGCUUUGGGUUUGUUCAUUUUUAGCGAAUUGCUGGUCUAAUUCGAUUAGAAUGGAGCCAAUGAAACUUGUAUUUCGACUUCAUGAUAACUUCGAGUCUGUUAUUUUAGGUGAAUUGAUAGUCUAAUUCGAUUGGAAUCGAGCCAUGAAUUGCGGUUUUCGAUUUCAUGAUAACAUCGGGUUUUAUCAUUUUUUACGAAUUACUAAUCUAAUUCGAUUGGAAUCGAAGCAACGAAAUGUGGUUUUCGAUUCCAUUAUAACUUCGGGUUUGUUCAUUUUUGGCGAAUUGCUAAUCUAAUUCGAUUGGAAUCGAGCCAAUGAAAUGUAGUUUUCAAUUUCAUGAUAACGUUGGGUUAGUUCAUUUUUUGCGAAUUGCAAGUCUAAUUCAAUUAAAAUCUAGCCAAGAAAUGUGGUCUUCGAUUUCAUGAUAACUUCGGGUUUGUUUGUUUUUGGCGAAUUGUUAGUCUAAUUCGAGUGGAAUCGAGCAAUGAAAUGUAGUCUUCGAUUUCAUUAUAACUUUGGAUUUGUUUGUGUUUGGCGAAUUGUUAGUCUAAUUAGUUGGAAUCGAGCCAAUGAAAUGUGGUUUUCGAUUUCAUAAUAACUUCAGGUUUGUUCAUUUUUGGCGAAUCGGUAGUCUGAUUCGUCUAGAAUCGAGCCAUGAAAUGUGGUUUUCGAUUUCAUGAUAUCUUCAGGUUUGUUCAUUUUUGGCGAAUUGGUAGUCUGAUUCGUCUAGAAUCGAGCCAUGAAAUGUGGUUUUCGAUUUCAUGAUAACUUCGGGUCUGUUCAUUUUUGGCGAAUCGGUAGUCUGAUUCGUCUAGAAUCGAGCCAUGAAAUGUGGUUUUCGAUUUCUGGAUAACUUCGGGUUUGUUCAUUUUUGGUGAAUCGCUAGUCUGAUUCGAUUGGAAUCGAGCCAUGAAAUGUGGUCUUCGAUUUCAUGAUAACAUCGGGUCUGUUCAUUUUUGGCGAAUUGCUAGUCUAAUUCGAUUAGAAUCGAGCCAAUGAAAUGUGGUUUUCGAUUUCAUGAUAACUUCAGGUUUAUUCGUUUUCGGCGAAUUGCUAGUCUAAUUCGAUUGGAAUCAAGGCAACGAAAUGUGGUUUUCGAUUCCAUUAUAACUUCGAGUUUGUUCAUUUUUGGCGAAUUGCUAUUCUAAUUCGAUUGGAAUCGAGCCAAUGAAAUGUAGUUUUCAAUUUCAUGAUAACGUUGGGUUAGUUCGUUUUUUGCGAAUUGCAAGUCUAAUUCAUUUAAAAUCGAGCCAAGAAAUGUGGUCUUCGAUUUCGUGAUAACUUUGGGUUUGUUUGUUUUUGGCGAAUUGUUAGUCUAAUUCGAUUGGAAUCGAGCCAUGAAAUGUAGUCUUCUAUUUCAUUAUAACUUUGGAUUUGUUUGUUUUUGGCGAAUUGUUAGUCUAAUUCGAUUGGAAUCGAGCCAUGAAAUGUGGUCUUCGAUUUUAGGAUAACUUCGCGUUUGUUCAUUUUUGGCGAAUUGCUAGUCUAAUUCGAUUGGAAUCGAGCCAAUGAAAAGUGGUUUUCGAUUUCACGAUAACUUCGGGUUUGUUCAUUUUUGGGGAAUAGCUAGUCUAAUUUGAUUGGAAUCGAGCCAAUGAAAUAUGGUUUUCGAUUUCAUUAUAACUACGUGUUUGUUCAUUUUUAGCGAAUUGCUAGUCUAAUUAGUUGGCGUCGAGCCAAUGAAAUGUGGUUUUCGAUUUCAUGAUAACUUCGGGUUUGUUCGUUUUCAGCGAAUUGCCUGUCUAAUUCAGCUGGAAUCGAGCCAUGAAAUGUGGUUUUCGAUUUGAUGAUAACUUCAAGUUUGUUCGUUUUUGGCGAAUCAGUAGUCUGAUUCGUCUAGAAUCGAGCCAUGAAAUGUGGUUUUCGAUUUCAUGAUAACUUCGGGUUUGCUCUUUUUUCGCAAAUCGGUAGUCUGAUUCGUCUAGAAUCGAGCCACGAAAUGUGGUUUUUGAUUUCUGGAUAACUUCGGGUUUGUUCAUUUUUGGCGAAUCGCUAGUCUGAUUCGAUUGGAAUCGAGCCAUGAAAUGUGGUCUUCGAUUUCAUGAUAACAUCGGGUUUGUUCGUUUUUGGCGAAUUGCUAGUCUAAUUCGAUUAGAAUCGAGCCAAUGAAAUGUGGUUUUCGAUUUCAUGAUAACUUCGGGUUUAUUCGUUUUCGGCGAAUUGCUAGUCUAAUUCGAUUGGAAUCAAGGCAACGAAAUGUGGUUUUCGAUUCCAUUAUAACUUCGGGUUUGUUCAUUUUUGACGAAUUGCUAGUCUAAUUCGAUUGGAAUCGACCAAUGAAAUGUGGUUUUGGAUUUCAUGAUAACUUCGCGUUUGUUCAUUUUUGGCGAAUUGCUAGUCUAAUUCGAUUGGAAUCAAGGCAAACUUCGGGUUUGUUCGUUUUUGACGAAUUACUAGUCUAAUUCGAUUGGAAUUGACCAAUGAAAUGUGGUUUUGGAUUUCUUGAUAACUUCGCGUUUCUUCAUUUUUCGCAAAUUGCGAAGCUAAUUCGAUUGGGAUCGAGUCAAUGAAAUGUGGUUUUCGAUUUCAUGAUAACAAAUAACUUCGGGUUUAUUCGUUAUUGGCGAAUUGCUAGUCCAUUCGAUUGGAAUCGAGCCAAUGAAACGUGUAUUUCGAUUUCACGAUAACUUCGGGUCUGUUAUUUUUGGCGAAUUGCUAGUCUAAUUCGAUUGGAAUCGAGCCAUGAAAUGUUGUUUUCGAUUACAUGAUAACUUCGGGUUUUAUCAUUUUCUACGAAUUACUAGUCUAACUCGAUUGGAAUCGAGCCAACGAAAUGUGGUUUUCGAUUUCAUUAUAACUUCGGGUUUGUUCAUUUUCAGGGAAUUGCCAGUCUAAUUCAACUGGAAUCGAGCCACGAAAUGUGGUUUUCGAUUUCAUGAUAUCUUCAGGUUUGUUCAUUUUUGGCGAAUUGGUAGUCUGAUUCGUCUAGAAUCGAGCCAUGAAAUGUGGUUUUCGAUUUCAUAAUAACUUCGGGUUUGCUCAUUUUUGGCGAACCGGUAGUCUGAUUCAUCUAGAAUCGAGCCAUGAAAUGUGGUUUUCAAUUUCUGGAUAACUUCGGGUUUGUUCAUUUUUGGCGAAUCGCUAGUCUGAUUCGAUUGGAAUUGAGCCACGAAAUGUGCUCUUCGAUUUCAUGAUAACUUCGGGUUUGUUCAUUUUUGACGAAUUGCUAGUCUCAUUCGAUUAGAAUCGAGCCAAUUAAAUGUGGUUUUCAAUUUCAUGAUAACUUCGGGUUUGUUCAUUUUUGGCGAACAGCUAGUCUAAUUCGAUUGGAAUCGAGCCAAUGAAAUGUGGUUUUCGAUUUCAUGAUAACUUCGUGCUUGUUGAUUUUUGGCAAAUUUCUAGUCUAAUUAGUUGGAGUCAAGCCAAUGAAAUGUGGUUUUCGAUUUCAUGAUAACUUCGGGUUUGUUCGUUUUCAGCGAAUUGCCAAUCUAAUUCAACUAGAAUCGAGCCACGAAAUGUGGUUUUCGAUUUCAUGAUAACUUCAGGUUUGUUCAUUUUUAGCGAAUCGGUAGUCUGAUUCGUCUAGAAUCAAGCCAUGGAAUGUGGUUUUCGAUUUCAUGAUAACUUCGGGUUUGUUUAUUUUUAGCGAAUCGAUAGUCUGAUUCAUCUAGAAUCGAGCCAUGAAAUGUGGUUUUCGAUUUCUGGAUAACUUUGGGUUUGUUCAUUUUUGGCGAAUCGCUAGUCUGAUUCGAUUGGAAUCGAGCAAUGAAAUGUGGUCUUCGAUUUCAUGAUAACUUUGAGUUUGUUCAUUUUUGGCGAGUCGCUAGUCUCAUUCGAUUAGAAUCGAGCCAAUGAAAUGUGGUUUUCGAUUUCAUGAUAACUUCGUGUUUGUUCAUUUUUGGCGAAUUGCUAGUCUUAAUAGUUGGAGUCGAGCCAAUGAAAUGUGGUUUUCGAUUUCAUGAUAACUUCGGGUUUAUUCGUUUUCGGCAAAUUGCGAGCAUAAUUCGAUUGGAAUCGAGGCAACAAAACUUGGUUUUCGAUUCCAUUUUAACUUUGGGUUUGUUCCUUUUUGACGAAUUGCUAGUCUAAUUCGAUUGGAAUUGACCAAUGAAAUGUGGUUUUGGAUUUCAUGAUAACUUCGCGUUUGUUCAUUUUUCGCAAAUUGCUAGGCUUAUUCGAUUGGAAUCGAGUCAAUGAAAUGUGGUUUUUGAUUUCAUGAUAACAAAUAACUUCGGGUUUGUGCGUUAUUGGCGAAUUGCUAGUCCAUUCGAUUGGAAUCGAGCCAGUGAAAAGUGGCUUUCGAUUUCAUGAUAACUUUGGGUUUGUUCAUUUUUUGCGAAUUGCUACUCUAAUUCGAUUGGAAUCGAGCCUGUGAAAAGUGGCUUUUGAUUUCAUGAAAACUUCGGAUUUGUUUGUUCUUGGCGAAUUUCUAGUCUAAUUCAAUUGGAAUCGAGAAAAUGAAAUGUUGUUUUCGAUUAAAUGAUAACUUCGGGUUCGUUCAUUUUUAGCGAAUUGCUAGUUUAAUUCGAUUGGAAUCGAGCCAAUGAAACCUGUAUUUCGAUUUCAUGAUAACUUUGGGUCUAUUAUUUUUGGCGAAUUGCUAGUCUAAUUCGAUUGGAAUCGAGCCAAGAAAUGUGGUUUUCGAUUUCAUGAUAACUUCAGGUUUGUUCAUUUUUUUGCGAAUUGCUACUCUAAUUCGAUUGGAAUCGAGCCUGUGAAAAGUGGCUUUUGAUUUAAUGAAAACUUCGGGUUUGUUUGUUCUUGGCAAAUUGCUAGUCUAAUUCGAUUGGAAUCGAGCCAAUGAAAUGUUGUUUUCGAUUAAAUGAUAACUUCGGGUUCGUUCAUUUUUAGCGAAUUGCUAGUUUAAUUCUACUGGAAUCGAGCCAAUGAAACGUGUAUUUCGAUUUCAUGAUAACUUCGGGUCUGUUAUUUUUAGCGAAUUGCUAGUCUAAUUCGAUUGGAAUCGAGCCAUGAAAUGUGGUUUUCGAUUUGAUGACAACUUCGGGUUUUAUCAUUUUCUACGAAUUAGUUGUCUAAUUCGAUUGGAAUCGAGCCAACAAAAUGUGGUUUUCGAUUUCAUUAUAACUUCGGGUUUGUUCAUUUUUGGCGAAUUGCUAAUCUAAUUCGAUUUGAAUCGAGCCAAUGAAAUGUAGUUUUCAAUUUCAUGAUAACAUUGGGUUUGUUCAUUUUUUGCGAAUUACAAGUCUAAUUCAAUUAAAAUCGAGCCAAGAAAUGUGGUCUUCGAUUUCAUGAUAACUUCGGGUUUGUUUGUUUUUGGCGAAUUGUUAGUCUAAUUCGAUUGGAAUCGAGCCAUGAAAUGUGGUCUUCGAUUUCAUGAUAACUUCGGGUUUGUUUGUUUUUGGCGAAUUGUUAGUCUAAUUCGAUUGGAAUCGAGCCAUGAAAUGUGGUCUUCGAUUUCAUGAUAACUUUGGGUUUGUUUGUUUUUGGUGAAUUGUUGUUCUAACUCGAUUGGAAUCGAGCCAUGAAAUGUGGUCUUCGAUUUCAGGAUAACUUCGGGUUUGUUCGUUUUUGGCGAAUUGCUAGUCUAAUUCGAUUGGAAUCAAGCCAACGGAAUUUGGUUUUCGAUUUCAUGAUAACUUCGGGUUUGUUCGUUUUUGGCGAAUUGCUAAUCUAAUUCGAUUGGAAUCGAGCCAUGAAAUGUGGUCUUCGAUUUCAGGAUAACUUCGGGUUUGUUCGUUUUUGGCGAAUUGCUAAUCUAAUUCGAUUGGAAUCGAGCCAUGAAAUGUGGUCUUCGAUUUCAUGAUAACUUCGGGUUUGUUCAUUUUUGGCGAAUUGCUAGUCCAUUCGAUUGGAAUCGAGCCAGUGAAAAGUGGCUUUCGAUUUCAUGAUAACUUCGGGUUUGUUCAUUUUUUGUGGAUUGGUACUCUAUUUCGAUUGGAAUCGAGCCAUGAAAUGUGGUUUUCGAUUUCAUUAUAACUUCGGGUUUGUUCAUUUUUGGCGAAUUGCUAAUCUAAUUCGAUUGGAAUCGAGCCAAUGAAAUGUAGUUUUCAAUUUCAUGAUAACAUUGGGUUUGUUCAUUUUUUGCGAAUUGCAAGUCUAAUUCAAUUAAAAUCGAGCCAAGAAAUGUGGUCUUCGAUUUCAUGAUAACUUCGGGUUUGUUUGUUUUUGGCGAAUUGUUAGUCUAAUUCGAUUGGAAUCGAGUCAUGAAAUGUGGUCUUCGAUUUCAUGAUAACUUUGGGUUUAUUUGUUUUUGGCGAAUUGUUGUUCUAACUCGAUUGGAAUCGAGCCAUGGAAUGUGGUCUUCGAUUUCAGGAUAACUUUGGGUUUGUUCGUUUUUGGCGAAUUGCUAGUCUAAUUCGAUUGGAAUCAAGCCAACGGAAUUUGGUUUUCGAUUUCAUGAUAACUUCGGGUUUGUUCAUUUUUCGCAAAUUGCUAGGCUUAUUCGAUUGAAAUCGAGUCAAUGAAAUGUGGUUUUCGAUUUCAUGAUAACAAAUAACUUCGGGUUUGUUCAUUUUCGGCGAAUUGCUAGUCCAUUCGAUUGGAAUCGAGCCAGUGAAAAGUGACUUUCGAUUUCAUGAUAACUUCGGGUUUGUUCAUUUUUUACGGAUUGGUACUCUAAUUCGAUUGGAAUCGAGCCAUGAAAUGUGGUUUUCGAUUUCAUGAUAACUUCGGGUUUUAUCAUUUUCUACGAAUUAGUUGUCUAAUUCGAUUGGAAUCGAGCCAACGAAAUGUGGUUUUCGAUUUUAUUAUAACUUCGGGUUUGUUCAUUUUUGGCGAAUUGCUAAUCUAAUUCGAUUGGAAUCGAGCCAAUGAAAUGUAGUUUUCAAUUUCAUGAUAACAUUGGGUUUGUUCAUUUUUUGCGAAUUGCAAGUCUAAUUCAAUUAAAAUCGAGCCAAGAAAUGUGGUCUUCGAUUUCAUGAUAACUUCGGGUUUGUUUGUUUUUGGCGAAUUGUUAGUCUAAAUCGAUUGGAAUCGAGCCAUGAAAUGUGAUCUUCGAUUUCAUGAUAACUUUGGGUUUGUUUGUUUUUGGCGAAUUGUUGGUCUAACUCGAUUGGAAUCGAGCCAUGAAAUGUGGUCUUCGAUUUCAGGAUAACUUUGGGUUUGUUCAUUUUUGGCGAAUUGCUAGUCUAAUUCGAUUGGAAUCAAGCCAACGGAAUUUGGUUUUCGAUUUCAUGAUAACUUCGGGUUUGUUCAUUUUUCGCAAAUUGCUAGGCUUAUUCGAUUGAAAUCGAGUCAAUGAAAUGUGGUUUUCGAUUUCAUGAUAACAAAUAACUUCGGGUUUGUUCGUUUUUGGCGAAUUGCUAGUCCAUUCGAUUGGAAUCGAGCCAGUGAAAAGUGGCUUUCGAUUUCAUGAUAACUUCGGGUUUGUUCAUUUUUUGCGGAUUGGUACUCUAAUUCGAUUGGAAUCGAGCCAUGAAAUGUGGUUUUCGAAUUUAGGAUAACUUCACGUUUUAUCAUUUUUAACGAAUUACUAGUCUAAUUCGAUAGGAAUCGAGCCAUGAAAUGUGAUUUUCGAUUUCAUGAUAAAUUCGGGUUUGUUCGUUGUUGGCCAAUUGCUAGUCUUAAUUGAUUGGAAUCGAGCCAAUGAAAUGUGGUUUUCGAUUUCAUGAUAAAUUCGUGUUUGUUCAUUUUCUACGAAUUGCUAGUCUGAUUAGUUGGAGUCGAGCCAAUGAAAUGUUGUUUUAGAGUUCAUGAUAACAUUGGGUUUGUUUGUUUUUGUCGAAUUGCUAGUCUAAUUCAAUUUGAAUCGAGCCAAUGAAACAUGUAUUUCGAUUUCAUGAUAACUUUGGCUCUGUUCGUUUUUGGCGAAUUGCUAGUCUAAUUCAAUUUGAAUCGAGGCAAUGAAACGUGUAUUUCGAUUUCAAGAGGACUUUUGGUCUGCUCAUUUUUGGCGAAUUGCUUGUUUAAAUCUAUUGGAAUCGAGCCAUGAAAUGUGGUUUUCGAUUUCACGAUAACUUCGAGUUUGUUCAUUUUUGGCGAAUUGCUAGUCUAAUUCGAUUGGAAUCGAGCCAAUGAAAUGUGGUUUUCGAUUUCAUGACGACUUCGGGUUUGUUCAUUUUUAGCGAAUUGCUUCUCUAAUUCGAUUGGAAUCGAGCCAAUGAAACGUGUACUUCGAUUUCAUGAUAACUUUGGGUAUGUUCAUUUUUGGCGAAUUGCUAGUCUAAUUCGAUUGGAAUCAAGCCAUGAAAUGAGGUUUUCGAUUUCAUGAUAACUUUGGGUUCGUUCAUUUUUUACGAAUUGCUAGUCUAAUUCGAUUGGAAUCUAGCUAAUGAAAUGUGGUUUUCGAUUUCCAGAGAACUUUGGGUUUAUUCAUUUAUGGCGAAUCGCUAGUCUAAUUCGAUUGGAAUCGAGCCAACGAAAUGUGGUUUUCGAUUUCAUGAUAACUUCGUGUUUGUUCGUUUUUGACGAAUUGCUAGUCUAAUUCGACCGGAAUCGAGCCAUGAAAUGUGGUUUUCGAUUUCAUGAUAACUUCAGGUUUUUUCAUUUUUGGCAAAUUGCUAGUCUGAGUCGACUAGAAUCGAGCCGUGAAAUGUGGUUUUCGAUUUCAUGAUAACUUCGGGUUUGUUCAUUUUUUGCGAAUUGCUAGUCUAAUUCGAUUGCAAUCGAGCCAAUGAAAUGUGGUUUUCAAUUUCAUGAGAACUUCGGGAUUGUUUGUUUUUGGCGAAAUGCUAGUCUAAUUCGAUUGGAAUCGAGCCAAUGAAAUGUGGUUUUCUAUUUCAUGAUAACUUCGGGUUUGUUCUUUUUUGGCGAAAUGUUAGUCUAAUUCAAUUGGAAUCAAGCCAAUGAAAUGUGGUUUUCGCUUUCAUGAUAACUUUGGGUUUGUUCAUUUUUGAUGAAUUACUAGUCUAAUUCGAUUGGAACGAGCCAAUGAAAUGUGGUUUUCAAUUUCAUGAUAACUUCGGGUUUGUUCAUUUUUCGCGAAUUGCUAGUCUAAUUCGAUUGGAUUCGAGCUAAUGAAAUGUGGUUUUCGAUUUCAUGAUAACUUCGGGUUUGUUCAUUUUUGGCGAAUAGCUAGUCUAAGUCGAUUGGAAUCGAGUCAAUGAAAUGUGGUUUUCGAUUUCAUGAUAACUUCGUGUUUGUUCAUUUUUGGCGAAUUGCUAGUCUAAAUAGUUGGAGUCGAGCCAAUGAAAUGUGGUUUUCGAUUUCAUGAUAACUUCGGGUUUAUUCGUUUUCGAUGAAUUGCUAGUCUAAUUCGAUUGUAAUCGAGGCAACUGCUACAACUUUAAGGUUGCAAACCCAAGUACAGGUUGUCGCAAGUAGUAAAUCUCGGAAGUCCGAGGUCGAACCACAGGGAAUUGGAAGGAAAUAAACUAUUCUAUGAGUAAUAAACGGUUGGUGAAAAUACGAUUGAGAUGAACACUAGAGCGUCGGGGAUUCACUUCGGAUAAAUGAGUAGAAAUUGCCCUUGAUCUUUAAUUUAACUCAUAUGAAAAUCAACUAAGGAAUGAUCUCAUAUGGAAGAUAAAACAUUGAUCACAAAUAUAUUAAAAGAUAGAUCUUGAUCAUUGUUUGAGAGAAUAUGUCAAAAUAAGUUGUUGGAAUGUAGAGAUUAUCUAAGCAUUUAUUGUGCCAAAAUUGUCAACAAUAAAUCAAAGUCUUUAACAAACCAAAACCAUUUGUAGAACACAAACUUCAACCAAGUAAGAAGAUGAACAUUGAAGAACAAAAUGAAAGAUCAAAGACAACACUAAACAUUCAUCAAAGUUUCACCCUUAGCUCUAGCUAAAUGUUUAGAAAUACAUAGUGAAAUGUUACAAAGAAAAUGAAGGAAACUAGAAUAUGAUGGAGAGAAUUGAUGCUUCAAAAUCGUGGCCAAGGUCCCCUUUUAUAGGCAAAGGAACAUCCAAAAUUCAAGUAGGCAAUGCAACUUGUUUCUGUCCAGCUUCAAGACAGCUGGAACAUGCAACUUGAUGCCAAUUUUCAGAUAUAUUGUGCAGCGAAUUCGGACUUAUGAUCAACAGAUAAUUUAUUGCCACUUGAGUUAGCUUUCCAUUGGUUCAAAUGUCAGGUUCAUUGGAUCUAUAUAACUCCAUAUAUGACAAAAACAAUAAGUGCUGCUUCACAGGUAAAGCUGUAUCGGGCAGGUGACAAGAUGGACUUUGCACGGUAAUUUUGGCUGCCUUUUGAUACGAAUUUGACUUCUUCCAAAACAUAAAAGUUGUAGAAACGUGCCUUUUCUUUCCAACCCAACUUGAAUCACCUCGAUCCAAUGUCUGAAGCUCAAGUUAUGAUUAUUUUACCAACAGCUGCUUCUUGCUUGAGGCAGUCACUAUUUUUGACUUUUCAACAUUAUUUUCCUCCACUUGCUCCACUUGUAAUAAAUUGGAAAUACAUGUGAAAUACAUCAAAUAGAUACUCUUUCAAAUGUAUAAUACUCAUGCCGACAUGUAUGUAAAUACGUAUUUCAAUUAAUUGCAUUUUUAACCAUGUAUUUAUGGAAAUUGAAUUUACGGCAUGAGAAUUGGAAUUAGAGACUAACAUUAGCGUUUUUAAACAAAGUGAAUGUAAAAUGCCUUGUAAAUUAUAUAUCUUGAAGCAAUUUCAGAUGCUAAU
rnacentral:lncRNA from 1 species